CUAUGCCUGAUUCUUUUCCCCUCCUGAUUAGUCUUUGGUUAUUAACAGGGAAGUUCAAAGGGUUUAAUGGAAUAUACAAUAUGGCAAUUUCUGUAAUAAUUGGUGCCGUCUAAUUUAGCAGAAAUGUGUUGGAGUCUCUGCCAUAAAUGAUUAUUACUGAAAACCAUGACCUUUUUUUGUUGGUAAUGAUUUAACUUUCUUGCUCUGUUAAUGGCAGCCAUAACAUAGGUUUCUAUCUGGUUUGACAUGCUUUCUGAAUUUAAUAGCAGGCCCCUCGCUUGCCCCAUGUUGUUUACGGGAGGAUUUAAGUGCUGUUGGUAUGGGGCAUGUUGGCUGGCAUGUGCUUCUGUCAGUACAUGCUAUGCGGUAUUUGAAACCCUAAAAGGAACUUUUUGCUCAGUAUCAAGCAAUCAUGAGCCAUAUCACUAUGAGUCUAUAUGCGCCAAUAUGUCUGGCACCAAUACUUACCUAGUACUGGGUGCUGGUACCGACCCUGCAUGGGCUGAAACUUGAAACAAUGUUACAUGUGCAUGUAAAUAUAUCUACACAUGCAAAAAGGUGGAUGACAUGAAAUUGAUGGUGGUUUGUACAGUAUGUGCGCAUUCUGAUGGAUUAUACCUUAAUACAUCAUGCUUCUUUGUUAGGAUUAAGGAUACAUAAUUGGUCAAAUUUAACAAACAUUAACAAAUGAAUGGAAAUGCCUUUUGCGUUUGAAUUUUGAAUCAUGAAUGUUCAUAGUUGUCAAAAAAGAAUUGGAAUGCUAGAAGUUGAUGGUAAGCUUGCAAAAAUGAUAGAAUUAUCUCAGUGAAGCAAUCUAGUUUAGGGGUUGUUGUUUUUGAUUCUCCCUUUUUUCCUCACUUCAUUUGCUCAAUAAACUGUUGAGUCAAUUUGGAGAUGAUGUAUGACAUGGAGUUUGAAUACCUUUUAAAUUGCUAGACAAUGAAAUGCAUGUUUCUUUGGAAUUCUGCAACCAUGAAAGUUUUGAGUGGCUUUCUUUUUGCUAAUUCUCCAAAAGGAUACUCCUUAUAAUGGGGUAACAAAUAACGUGGAAAGUUGCUAUUUAAAGUGUGGCUAACUCCACAAAUAUGUAGAACCUAGUCCAUGCACAUUUUUUGAUAAAGAAGGUUCUAAUUAUAUAGUUUAAAAUACCUAUAAGGCAAAUGGAGGCAAAAUCAUCCUGUUGUCUAUGGAUGAAUGUAGUUGCUUUAUGCUUUCAAAAUGAUGGUAAAAAAUUGCAUCUUAUCAAGCACAUUGAGGAUAGUCUAUUUAUUUUUAAGUGUAAAGUCCAGUUAUACAUAAAUGAUGAAUAUAAAAGAUUGAGGGCAGUUCUGCUAGCAAAGAAACUUGAAAAAACAGGCGAUGGGCUAGGUGCAGACCACCCAAUGGGCCAUGAACGUACCCUCCUAGUCAUGCAUCAGUGUGUGUCUCGCAGGUGCAUGCCCAGACUCAUGGGUCACCAAUAUUGAGCUGAACCGCUUCCACCAAUAAUAUAGAUUGAAAUAGAGGAAAUAUAGGAUGCUGUGUAUAUGCAAGUUUAGCAAGUAUGGGGUUUGAUACACUGACUGUUAUAGAAAAUCUUUUAACUACUGAAUAUCAACCAGUUACUUAUGGUGCAGUGGUUUGUUUUGGAUUUCUAGUGAGAUAGUUUUGUUAAGGUUCUCAUGCUGAGCACCAUUUCAUUUGUACAUGCAAAGAGUUCUGCUUUGACUUAUUUACCCCCAAAUUGGCCACAUGUUGGCUUUUUCUGUGAUUGAGUGGUGGUUUGUUAUGAGCUUGCUAGUGAGAUGCUUUUGAAUAGUCAAGCUGUUUUGAACAAUUGAAAUCAUUUUUAACUAAGAGCAUGGUUUAGGCUGUUAAGCUUAUUAACUCUUGUUGUGCUGUUGCUAAUAAAAGAAUUUCCUUUUUAAGUGCACCUUCUGAAGUAAUUAAUGCAUGUGGAAUAAAACUCUGUUAUUGACAACUCAAAUUUUUGUCAGCAAUUGGAAUUCCCCCUCAGAAGUUAAUCUUUAUGGGAUGAAAACUGCAUAUAGUGUGGAGCUCUUUUUUUAUUUAACAUAUAGAUUGUUGUGAGCAAUCGGAGUCUUGUGCCUAUCUAGUCAUUGAGAACAUCUUAUUUUGAGGCAGUUUUUUCCUACUGGAUGGUAGAAAACAACAUACCUUAUAGGUUAGUGUUUGUUGUGCCUUUUUAAUUUAGUUAUUGUUUCUAAUUUGAAAGAAAUUUGGUUGUAGGGUUGUAGAUCUCAGCUGCACCCAUAAAGUUUGAAGGGAUCAAAAAGUUCUAAGCUGUCUGUUGUCUACAACUAUUUAUCUUUCUUAGCUAAGUUGCAAUUAGAUGAAUUUAUGCUUUUUUCUCCUUUCCAGUCUCUAUGCUUCAAAUGGAACCAUAUUUCAACAUUGCUGGCUGCUUUUGAUAUGAUUAUCUUGAUAAUACCAUUAAGAAUUGAUAGGUUGAGAUGAAUUAAUACAAAUGAAUAAUUGGCACUAAGCGAUCUGAGGAGGGCAAAUUUGGAUUCACUUGAUUGCAGUAGUUCAAGGUUAUUGAAAAUAGUUAUCUUGCAAAGGCAAAGAAGAUAUUAUUGUUAUUGUUUAACUAUGGUAUGCUAAGAAUGUGCAAGAUAUUAUGUAUAUCCUGCAUGGCUGUGGGGAAAAAAAACCAUUACAACUUUGUUAAAAUGCAACAGAUUGCGCUAGAAAGAUAAUUUGUUCAUUUGGAUGGGUGAUUAAUUGCAUAUAGAAAAGACUACAUUAUUAAUCAUCGAUAAGUGAUUAAAUUUGCAAGUUCUGUUGGUGAUUCCUCUUUGUGUUGUGCUACAUUGCCAAAGUGCCUAGAUGACCGCUAUUGGCACAAUGCCUAACUUAUAAAGUAGGCAGUUGCGCAAGUGCCUGUCCAAUUGCCCAGGCAACUAGCUUAGCAUAAAAGUUGCUGAACCAUCUAUUGCUACUUCAAUUUGAUUUAAUUGUUAUGAAUUUUUUCCUAUAUUUAAUAAUGCAACAAUUAAUGUGCUUGUAGUCAAACCCUGUGGACAUUUUGUAUAGAUUAUUCAUUAACAAUAAGGAACACUUGCUAGGGAGCUAUGCCUAGCAUUCCAUGAACCGCUACGACACAUGUUUUAUUGGUCCACAGCAGCUAGAACGUGGUUUUUUUAGGUGAGGAAAGUAGCUUCUCCGGUUUCUCAUGUCACCUUAAGUUGAAGAAAAAAAAUAAAAACCAGGAACCCACAGUACUCUGUAAUAAAUCUAACCAUCAUUCAAUCUCGCUCUCUCAUUUUUCCUCUCUCCAUGAACCCUCGUUUCCACUCUGUUUUUCAAAUCUUUACGCUUCCAUGUCUCCUCUAUGUCCUCUCACCAUUAAUAUGAACCCUCAAUUCCCCUUGACAUUCGCGGACUAUUGCAGGAGUGUGGUGCCCAUCAGGCCACACACGUCUAUAGGGAGGCGAAUGGUGCAGCUGACUGGGUUGCUUUCUAUGUGGCUCACCAUUCGGAUGGUUUUAUUUGGAGAGAGCAUGACACAGUGCCAGGUGCUUUAUCUGCUUUGUUGUUUUCGGAUUUUGUUGGCUGCAUCCACACCCGUAGGGUGUGGGCUGCCAUUGUAUCAAAAAAAAAAAACCCUCAACUCCCUUUUAUUUCCCAAAACCCAAAUCCCCAAAUGAUCUGGUAUUUUUUCUCUUUUUUUCCCCCUCAAAAACAUCUUGAGAUCAGCUAAGAGGGUGUGGUGAUGAGAGAAAGUUUGUGAUAUAUUGCUUCAGAUUGAACCAUGAUAAUUACUUAAAGCCUAAUGGUUGAUGUGAUGAUAUAUAAUAUAUAUGUUUCGUCACAACAGCUUUUGGCUCCAUCCAUGAAGAAAAAUGCAAGGUGAGAACCACAGUCAUUUGUUUUCUUAGAGAUUCCCAUGAUUUGAUGAAGUAGUUUGUUUAUGAGAACAAAUACGGUCUUAUUUUGACUCGAAUCAUUGAUGGAGGAGAAAUCCUCCCUACCAUUUGUUGGGCGCUUCAAGAAGGAAUAUGAAACUUUAGAUAGAGAGAGAUUUUUGGGGGGGGGGGGGUGGGCGGUGUUUGGGUUCUCCAUGGAGAGCUUCGAUCAUAGAAGAAAUGUUUUUUAAUCUUUUAUUUGGAGGAGCUGGUGUUUGCCAGCUUUUAAGCAUGGUAUGGGGUGCAUGGAAUGCUAGGCAUGGUUCCCUAACUUUCCUUGUAGGUAUAAUAAUAGUUUUGAAGGUUUUUACUAAGAUAUUUAAAUGUAGCCUGCAUAUGCAAGUAGUCAAUGCAUCGCAUAGCACAUAUGCAACAUUGGGCGCAUAAGCAGGAAUCUUCAUGGUUGGCAUUCUUAGAAUAUAUAAAAAUAAUGAAAUUCAAAAAAUUAGAUAUUAAUAAGUGAAAAAUCAGUUAUUAAUAUGUAAAAAUUCAGGAAAAAGAGAAGAUUUAUGGAUAUAACAUAAUAACUAGGUUUAAAGUUCUGUUCGGUAAAUAAAAUCUGUAGUAUCUAAGCUAUUGGUCUUCAACAAGAUACCCAAAUUUGUCCUUCAGGAAAUGAUUUACCAAACAAGCCAUGUUUAUGACAGUUCAUAUGUGCUGUAGCUGCAUACAUGAGCCACUUCGGCCUGUAUAGCUGCCUGGCAGCUCCCUAUGGCCCAACCCCAAUGCGAUGCUAUCACCAAGCUGCAUCAUAUAUGCAGGUGCAUAGGUGGCUUCCUAGACCGCAUUUUAAAAUGCUGGCUAUUAUUAAAAAAUAAUUAAUAACAUAUAUCAUUUUUGUUCUAUCUUAAUGGUAAUGUUCCCUUAGCUUUUUUGUUCAUCCAACUUAGCAGCAGUUGGUUCUUUGGUCUAGUGUUUUUAACGAAUUAAAUCUUGGAAUGCCUGUGCGAAGUGAAAUACAUUUAUAUUCGACUCUAAAAGUAUGAAUUAUGCUACAAACACACUAAUAGCAUAUCAAUUAUGCAUGUUUAUGAAUUGAGACAUAUUACACAAAUUAACAUACAUUUAUACAUAGAUAAACACAUAUGAUAGUGGGUGACUGAUAAAAUUAUGGUCUAGAUAUGCCAACCUGCCUAGCUAUGUCCCCAGAACUUGAGUAGCACUCAUGCUUGAUGGUCUUAGUUAUAAUUACCUAGUGACCUAUGGCCCUUCUAUGGCUUAGGCAGUUGUCCAGGCCCCAAGGAGGCCACUCCUAAUAAGAAUAAUGGCCAUAGCAUCAUAACAUGUGUCAGUAAUUUUUUUACUACAUUUGACAACUCCAAAUACAUCUUCUGUGUUUUGGUGAUCCUAUCAGAGCAUGAUGGUUCUACUAAUGUUGAGUUUCAUGCCUUUUUUUUUCUUCUGACGAUCGUAAAAAUUAACAAAUCAUAUCUGAAAGGGAUAAUAGUAUUUGAUGUUUCUGGAAAUAACAGACAUGCAUUUUUCUCAAUCUCAACAAAACAAAGCUGUCCAAUAUAUAAAAUCCUUGUGUAUUACUAAAGCUUACAUUGCUAGGAUUGUGUAUUUUCCUUGUGCAUUUGCACCCAAUGUGGGCAGAGCGUGACACAGAAUGCUGUGUGGUUUGCUUAACUCAUACCAAUGGAGACAUCAUAAGUGAUGUAAAUCCUUUGUUUUAAAUCCACUUUACACUAUCUAUCCAUUGUCAGAAAUUUGUUGUCUGAUCCUUUUAUGUAUGUUAGUUAUGUGAGACUUUUCUAUUUCAAUCAUAAUUCUAGAAACCAUGUAUGCUGCCAGUCAUGUUGCACAAAAGACAAGUCACGGGGAUUUCACACGCCAUGGGAGUGGAUGAUGACUGAUUCUGUGGGAGUUUUGUUGAUCUCAGUAGUAACAUAUCCAAUUCUGACUGCAUUAAAUAAGUUGUUUGCCUGCUUAUCAUCAGUUAUUUUUUCCACCUUGUGUGCUGGUAUUCAGUUAAAUUUCAUAAUCUCACUCCAUCCCUACAUGGUGAAGUGUUGUUCAGAGGCACAACAUGAAUUUAAACCUGUAUAUUAUUGAUCUUUUAAAACUCAAUCAUUUCCGAAGCUACAAAAAAUAGUAUACGGAGUCAAAUUGCAUAUUAUUGUUGACCUCAUAUUGUUAUAUGCCUGAUAUGUUUCUUUGCAAACUGGACGAUGUUAUAAUUUAAUAGUACAUUGAAAUAUUUUGGCUCCUACUUAUAUUGUUAUUGGGUUCACUUGUGCAGAAGAUGUAUGUGCAGUCAAAAUGCAUAUGAACUUUAUUAAGGCCGUGCUUUACUAUUGGACAAGAACCCUGUUCAGUUUUUUUUUUUGCAUCAUUGCUUUGGACAUCAGAGCGAUGUGUUAGAUAUCAUGUUGUCUGUUUUUUGCAUAAUAUCUUUGUCUACGUUGAUGUUUGGGUAUUGUAGCUUGAAAGACGCAUUAUUGUGAGUGUUGCGACUUUUUAUACUGAGCAGGUGAUUCGAUUACAUUAUAUAUUUAGUUCUGUUGAAUUCUAUUAUAAUAUCAUACUUCUGCAAUAAGCCUAUUGUACUUAUAGCUAAACCACAUUCAUAAGAAAAAGUCAUAGUAGUCAUGUGAAGCCCAAGCUUAUCUGCUUUCACUUGUAAUUAAACUUCUAAAAGGUUAAGAAUUGGCUAAAUAUGAAUUGUUGUAAAGGAAGAUCUGCUUUUUGCCGUUCUGUUUUAAUUAUUUGAUUGCUAGUAAGCAAGUGUUUCAUCCAUUCAUUAUUAUAGUCUGCUACGUUUUAAACUUUUUUAAGUCUGACUUAGUUAGGGCAUAUUUAUAUGCUAUAGGAAAUCAAAUUGGAAAUAACCAGAACAAAACUAUAGGCAGAUGAAGUUUUGGAUUUCAUGUACUAAUUGAUGAUUUCAUCCUUUUCAUGCCUUCUCCCAUUAAUCCUUUUUACACAAGAAAUGCAUAGCUGACCCAUAUACACGAGACAAGACCUGUCAAUUAUGGGUUUUUUUCCCCUCUUUGUAAGUUUUAGUUAAGUUAAUAUGAUAAUAUAGUGAUAUGUUAAAAUACCUAUAGAUUAUGAUUGAAGAUUUUCUUCCACAUGUUGCAGUCAUUUGCGGUGGAAAAUUACAUAUGAAAAAUGGACUGAGAAUUUUCUUUUAAUUUUUUGGUUCCAGGCAAAAGCAGCUAAGCAUUUAUGGAUUGGAGGAAUCAGUUCAUCUGUCACAAAGGAACAACUUGAGGAUGAAUUUUUGAAGUUUGGGAAGAUUGAAGAGCACAGAUUCCUCAGGGAUCGAAACUCUGCGCUUAUUGACUAUCACAAGACUGAAGAUGCUAUUGCUGCUCAGAAAAACAUGAAUGGAAAGCGUUUAGGUGGUGAACAAUUGCGUGUUGAUUUUCAGAGAUCACAACCUCCUAGAAAGGUGUUGGUUAUAGUGUUGGUUUUCCCAUAUUUUAUAUUGCUUGCAUGCCUGUUAUCCAAUAUUUUUAAUUAAAGUUAGUGACUUUUGUUUCUUUGUUUUUUGGUUUACCUUUGUUGUACUGCUGUGGUCCUGAUAUCAUUUUCAUCAUGACUAUAGGAUUGGCCUGACCAACGAGACUCAAGAAAUGGACAGUUCGGCAGUCGGGGUUUGGGGCUGCAGGAACGGUUGCUGCCACCUGAUGGAAGAGGUUUUCAUGAUUCUUCCUAUCAUGGGCCCAAGAGGCAUAUGGUAUUCCUUGAACCAGAAAGUCAAUUCUUAACAUAUAUUGAUUGGCACGUUUUACCCCGUUCUUUUCAGUCGAACUUCAGAUUAGAAGUUUUUCCAUCUUAUAAGCUGUUUCUUGUUUUGCAUUUGUUCAAACUUUCUCAGCCUUAUGGAGGACGAAGAGACGGCUACCCAACCAAUGUUCUUUGGAUUGGAUACCCCCCUUCAGUACAGAUUGAUGAGCAGAAGCUCCAUAAUGCCAUGAUUCUGUUUGGUGAGAUUGAGAGGAUCAAGUGCUUUCCAUCGAGGAACUAUUCUUUUGUUGAAUUCAGAAGCAUUGAUGAAGCUAGGCGUGCCAAGGAAGGUUUGCAAGGGCGCCUUUUUAAUGAUCCAAGAAUACAGAUACUGUUUUCAAGCAGUGAUCUUGCACCUGGUAAGGAUGAUACACCGCCAUUUCCAGGGUUUAGAGGGCCUAGACCAGAGAUGUUUUUUGCUGAAGGGCCUAUUGGACCUUUGGAAUUGUAUGGUCCUGGUCGUGCAAUAGCCCCAAAUAGUUUUCCUGGAGCCUUGCUUCCGAAUAGCAUGCCUGGACCUGGUAUUUUAAUGAGGCCAUUUGGACCACAAGGAUUUGAUCCUUGUCAUGGAAGUCCAGAGUUCCAUGAUUUUGGUGGCACUACCAUGCCUUCUAAUUGGGGAUGGCGAUCUCCAUUGGCACCUGGUAUUCUUCCUUCUCCACCAAGUAUGCGCCCUCCUUUCCGACCCGUUCCAGGUUUAUGGGAUGAAUUCGACAUUAGGGAACCUAAAAAAUUAAGGAUGGAUGGUUCUUCCACUGAUAGCGCUUUCUUUCAUGCGACGAGGUUGGACAGUGGGGGUUUUGGAGACCCCUCUGGGUUUUCUCAACCUGAUAGAGGUGCCUCCGGUCAAAAUUGUCCAAGUCCAGUUGUUCGUGGCUAUGGUGAGCUUCAUCCUUCUCCUGAUAGUGACCAUUGUUGGCGUGGUAUUCUUGCCAAAGGUGGAACUCCUGUUUGUCAUGCUCGGUGCGUGCCAGUAGGAAAGGGCAUUGACUCUCCAUUGUAAGUUUGAACACUCCCCAGCCCAUUCAUGAGUAGAUUUAUAAAAAAAUUGGUUAUCUGUUAUGAUGAUUGUCAUAUGAACCUUUUUUGGCAGCCCUGAAGUUGUUAAUUGCUCAGCUAGAACGGGAUUGGAUAUGCUCACAAAGCACUAUGCCGAUGCCAUUGGCUUUGACAUUGUCUUCUUCCUACCUGACAGCGAGGAUGACUUUGUUUUUUACACUGAAUUUCUCCAUUACCUGGGCUUAAAAAAUCGUGCUGGGGUUGCAAAGCUUGAUGAUGGGACUACCCUAUUUUUGGUGCCCCCAUCAGAUUUCUUGACCAAGGUAUUGAAUUUUUCUGGUCCUGAGCGCCUGUAUGGUGUUGUUUUGAAAUUGCCACAACAAUCAACUAAUGCCGCGGUACAACAACCACAACUAGCAACUCCUCUCCUGCCAUCCCAUUACAUUGAUCAACAAGAGGCAUCUAAUUCACAGAAGGGUUAUCAGUCUGUCCCACAAAAUGGAGAUCAAGCUUUAAAAGUUGAUUACAAUAGGUCGGUGUAUGGGGAGCCAAUGCAUCAUUCAGGUGUUGGGAAAUCACUGUUGAUGCUUGCUGAUGAACCAAGCACAGCACAAUCAGCUUCCCUGGAUGAUGCUGGCAAUUCUACUGCUGUUUCCCAGGUGGGGGUUUCCUUGACUCCUGAACUAAUAUCUACUUUAGCAUCUCUGAUUCCCAGAAACAAUCAGUCAUCGGCUGCUGGGACUGUUCAAAUGCCAUCAGGCUCUACUAAUGGGCCAGCUGCAUCUUCUGCUUCUGCGAUACAUGCUGCAUCAAUGCCUUUUGAAGGAUGGAGACAAGACCAAGCGGUAGUUUCUAAUGCUCCCCUAGAGCAAACAAGCUAUCUUCCACAGCAUUUAGGUCAACAGUUUAAUAGCCAGGCACCACUCAGCUCUCACUUUCCAACAUAUGCUAACAUUCCAAGUGGACCAGAUCAUUCUGCAGAACCUAUUGUUGGUAGCACACAAGCUCAAAACCCUGCUUUAAACAUGCCAGAGGCUCCAUCUAUUCUGACCAGACCAUCAUAUAAUUAUUCAAUACCAUUCCAAGGUGGACAAUUUCCAGGAUCUUUCACUUCUCACAGCAACUAUGGCAUGUUACAGACAACAAAUCCUGCUGGUGUAUUCAACCAAGCAGUUCAGCAGCAGUUGAAACCCCCUUCCUCUUCUACUCACGAUCAAAUUGGAAAUCUGCCCCAGCCCCAAAUUGCCAUUCCACCUACUCAAGGGCAUCAGCCACAAACUGUUUUGUCUGGUUCAAGUACGUCAGGUAGCGAUGCUGAUAAGAACCAGCGAUACCAGUCAACCCUUCAGUUUGCUGCCAGCUUACUGCUACAACUUCAACAACAGCAGCAAGCUAGUGCUCAAGCUGUGCAAGAGCCCGGGAAUCAACAUUGAGAAAUGUUCUCGUGUGGCAGGUAUUCUUAUCACCUGCAUUUUAUUGAUUUAAUGAUAUGCUGAAGUUUCUUUCUUAAUUUAGUAGUAACUCUUCGAUGCCAUUGCGAAAUUAGUAUCUAUUAGGUGCAUUUAGUUUAGUUAUUGGUUCUUUUUUCUUGUCUGUAUUCUAUGAUCUCAUUAUUUUCAGGUGACAUUAUUUCUCAUCAGUUGUGCUUUCAGAAAUACAAUUAUGACAUUAUCAUAACAGGAACAUGUUUUUUUUUCAACAAGUUUCACUGAUAAAUGAAAAAUACUUUUGAUGAUUGACUACCAUUAUAUUGAUAAUAAAACUCUCAAAAGUUUUUGUCUUCUACUGAGUAUUGAUUAUAACUUUUAUGUGAGUUUGAAAUACGGGCUAUUGUUGGUUUUCUAUGGUAUGCUUCUUUUUUCCCCUUUCAUGUCUACUACUGGAAAUUAGUAGUAUUAUUAUGAUUCAUAAUGAAGUGAGGGGUGUGGGCAAUCCAAGUACUUGUUAGGUUUACAAAUACCAUGAUGUUUUCAAUCUCAUAUUUUUUGAUUGGUUUUAAAAUGAAAAGUGUACUGUGCAAAGUUAUCAAAGGAGUCUUCAGUAUUUUAGGCAAAUUUCUGUUCUUAAUUAGUUUCAUUUGGUUUAAUUUGGAGAUUAGAGGAAAUAUUGAUCUGAAGUCUAAUUUUAGGUGUCUAAAAUAUGAUUAUACUGUUAGCAGCAUUCUAUUGGAGAAUGAAUCAAAUAACUCCUAAGAAAGCCAGCAUAUAGAUUAUGUAAUGCCUGUCAGUUGUAUUUUAUGAUACUAGGUUAUAUAAUAAUUUUCCAAUUUUAUUUUAUGAUAUGAAGGGGGGAAAAGGAAUGGAUAAUGUCUAUAUAGCAGGAAGCUAGAGAUGCCAUCAGUUGGUUUGUGGGAAAUUAAGCAUUGCUGCUAUAAAGUUGAUGAUAAUUUGAUAUGAUGCUUGAAUUAUUAAAUCAUAAAGUGUAUAAGAGCAUAAAAUACGUAGUUAUUAAAUGUUCUAUUACUCGUCGUCAUCAUUAUCAUCAUCCUAAGAUUUGAGAAGGAAGCAUAGUUACAAUGAAACACAACUUAAUAAGAUUUUUUUAUUUACUAUAUGCUUGAAUUAGUUUUCUAAGUACUCUAGAAUCUGUUUAAUAACUAACAAAUAUCCGUGGGGUGCAAUGACAUUAACUCUUGAAAGCUAUGUCAUGAAAGUAUUAAUUUAUUAGCAAUGUAAAAUUUGGAAUGUUGGUUUCUUGUGUCAUCUAUAUAUGCCUAUAACGUGCUAUGUAAUUUGAUCUUGAAUUAGUUGUUAUAUAUCUGCCUUCAAAAGUUUGGUCUUUGAAUUAUGUUUCUUCCUUGAGUUAUGGUGUUAUGAUGAUUAUUUAAAAUGCUUGGCACACACACUGAAAUUUUUGAAAUGCUUGGUUGAUAUGGCACGAGCCUAAUGUUAAGCAAUAAGCAUAUUUCUAGGUGUAGAUCAAUCAUUGUUGAAAUGCUGUGUCCCUUUAGGCAUGUAUACUUUACAAAACUAACUUAAAUGUAUUUGUGCCAAUUGAGAUAGAAUUUUGGCCAAAUACUCAACAAUCAGUAAUUUGCAUGACAGAAAAGAAAAAGCAUGGUCAAUUAUGACACUGGCUUAUGUGUCCUUGGAUUACUAAAAACUUGGAUGAGAACUUCAUUUUUCCUGGGUCUACUUAAAAGUGUUUUAGAAUUUUUUUUUCUUUAUUUUGAGAAUGUUGCAAUUUUUUUUUUGUUUUUUAUGUGUAUAAAUGUAAGACAACCCAUAAAGCAGUUCAAAUGAAAGCGUUGCUGCAUAAAAUUUUGAACUGUCUUUCAUUCUGAUUCUUUUUCUUCUAUAUCAUUGUUUCUCUUACCAUGCUUCUUUAACCAAAUUAUUUGGUCACCUCAGUAGAACUUAAAAUCUUGUAGAGAAAUCAACCUUUUGUUGAUGAAUGCUCAUACAACUUUAUAUAUGAUUUCCUCCCAGUCUUGAAGCUUUCUUGCAUUCUCAAUAUGCUUUUCGUAAUUUCGUCAAAUGGUAAAUCAAUCUUAAUAGAACCAUAGGUAUUUAAAUUGAAAGGAAGCAUGAUCGAUAUCCUGCUAGUUCAAGGAACUUCUACCUUCUAAUGAAUUAGUAACUUAGUGGAGAAGUAGGAGGGAUCACUCUAUUUUGUACGACUGUCAUUUAUAGUUGGACUCUUGAGAAAAGGAUGCGGUGUUGGGGAGCCUUCAAAGCCUUUCCCUUUUUUUCUUGCCUCGGCUAUAUCAUCGGUGAAUCUAAGAGUUCCAAACUCCCUCCAACUGCCCCUCCCCCCUUUUUAAGUGACGUUGUCCUUACUUCCUCUUACAUUCAUUAGACCUGUGUGAUACUAGUAAUAUACAAAUUCCACCAUUCAAACAAGAUUAAUCUAGUUACCAUCAUUCUCACGUAUCAGCUGUCUGAAUCAUAUUUAGACCUUAAUUAAUCAACAUGGGGAAUGAAGGUCUACAUUCUUGUUUACUGGGGCCCCACCUCCGUAGAAGAGCUUUAUUGGUAGGAGAGCUGAUCUGUUAACAUGUUUGUGAAGGUAGCAUGCUUGUGAUGAGCAGCUCUGCCAGCAGUUAGUUUGCUUUGUUCCGUCUCAAUUAGUUUCAGUGUGUAGAGAUAGCCAGCCAAAGUACUUCAUAUUCCCAUUAUUAUAUCUUCAAGGUUUCCUGCUUAUCCUACAUAAGUUUGCUACGAAUUUUGUAUUCACAGCAAGACUUUUGGUGAUUGUAGAGCUCCAUUAUGUUCCCUUAUUCCAACAGAUACAUUGUCUUUUCAAAUAUACUGAAAUAUUUAGCCCCUAAGGAGGUAUAUCAACUUAGCAUGGAUUCCUAUAUUUUAUAGAAACAAUGAAUUUAAAAAUUAUGAAAAAUUAAUGUCAAACAAAAUUUUUAAAAACUUUUUAUCUGCCUUUGGCUGGAGCAAAACGCGCUAAAAACUUGACCUUGAGUUAAUCAUAACGUUUUUCGUGAGUUUCCCAUGGUGUGAGGAUGCAACAAACGAUAAAGAUUUGAGCACUCCAUGUUAUGAUUGUGGAUACUUAUUUCGCCAUUCCCUUUUCCGUCAGUAAUUCGAAGAUGACCCUUUUUUAGCUGUGCCUCUUCCAAGUUCUUACCCUCCCUUCUCGAAAUAGACAGGAAGGGUUAUAGGUAAUAGCCUCUUUGGGUUAAAAAUCAAGAUUUUGAGGAGUUAGUUGGCGGGUCAAAUGGUUUCUUGAGGUAAAGGACUUCAAUCUCGCAGGGUAUGAUGAAAAGCUCUUACCAGGAUUGUGUUUCCAGGUCGAUUGAAUCAACAUUUCCCUUUUUGUGAUGGAGGGCGAAUCGAGUCUCAAAUGGGCAUCUGGGACCUAUUUUUUAUGCCACCUUGUUAGAUUAACUGUAGGCAACGUUGUUUCAGGUGUAAAGUAGGCAUACGGAUUCCAAGCCUUAUGCAUGCAAAAGAGCCAUUGGAAAACAGGCAUAAUGUAGGAAUAAUUGUGCUGGUCAAUGUGCGAUGACAGCCAUAAGUAUUCCAAAGGAGAGCUGUCAUAAGCUAUUUUUUGGUAUAAAGGCAUCUUUUAUUACCUACUUUUUACUUUUUUAUGGACAAAAACCCUCUUGUAAAAGUUAUUCCAAAUAUGGCAACCAAAUAAAAAAUGGAAUUUCUGUCAUAACUAUUCUUAUAGGCAUAAUUUUUGCCAUGUCCAUCAUUCUCGUUCCCCUGAACCAAAUGCAGCCUGAUAGUUGAAUUCAGGAUAUCGGAAAAUGCCUAUACAAAAAGUUUUUUAAGAAUUAAUAUGUACAUAAACUAGAAAAGCUUCAUUAGUUAUGUCAAAUAGCCAUUAUUAUUAUGUUCUUAGCGUACUCAUUUUAGUCUAACAUAAGGAUAAGUUAUGAUUGCUGGUAUUGUUAGGGAAUUUUCAUUUGAUUGGGCUUCAGUCUUGAUAAUACUUGAAUAAAGUGAAAUGAAAAUGGCAUAGAGGCUUGUGAUCUGACAGAUUUUCUGUGGUCCUCAUUCACUUUUCUCGAGUAAUUCAUUGAUCGGUCCUCUUCCUCUUUGUGCAUCAUGUUAUCUUUCAGGCAAGUGUUUUUGUUAAUUUUCUACUAACGAUUAUGUACUUCCUAUGGAAACUAUUAAGGUUUUGUCCAUUGUAAUUUUCUAGAUGUUAAUAUUUUUCUGGGUACCCCAGUGCAUUAGUUCAUAAUAUGUAGUGAUGGGAAAGUUGACGAGGAUGAUGCCUUAAAAUAUUUUAUUGCAAGUGGUUCGCAUGCAACUGUCAUGUGCUAGCGUGAUGGUUGGAGGGCAUGAUACCAUAUGGAUCACUUCAGGGCAAUUAAGAUGUAUUUGCGCUAACUGAUAGUGGCAAAGCGGGUUUAUAUCAGUUAUAUAGGAAAAUGAGGUUGAUUUAGGAGUAACCUAGAUCGCUUGGGUGGUUGAAAAUGAAGUCAUGGGCAGCCAUCAUUUGGUUUUGUAUGAUGUGGGCAUUAGAUUCCAGAGUUGCUUGGUCAUGUUAAGCAAAAGAUUUUGACUAGUAAGGUUUUGGUACAUAUAGUAUUAGUAGGAAGGGGUAAAUUUCCUUUAGAGGCUUCAACUUGUUGCUUGAACUCAAGGCAGCAGAUGCAGCUAAGUGAAGGAAAACUAUAAUUAGUUGUGGAUUUGGAUGAUAUAGAAGGACAUGAAUGUUGUGUUUAGAGGCAAGGAGAGAUGUUUCCCCUAAGGUGAACUUGCAUGGACUUCCAUCAGCAUUGUUUUGGGAUGGCUCAUGCCAAGGCCACUUGAGACUAAAAGGGGAAGUUUUAGGAGGAUAGGACUUAUAGACUAGUUGAAAGAGGUGAAGUUUAAAGGUGUCGAGUUGGUAAUCGGCAAACCGUUACCAACUCACAUUUGCGAUGAUAUGCAUGCAUCAAGUUGGGUGCGUUCAUUUCUUUGUAAGUAGAAGAAUAUCUGAUGGAAAAUGUUAAGUUUGUAGCAUCAAAUUAGUGGGACAAUUGUAUUUACAAGUAUUCAUUUUUGCGUUGCCUAACUUUCUACUAGUUGUUCUUUUGAGCAUGAGGAGACUAAGGAAGCAUCAAUUGUUCUUUUAUCCAACUUUGUAUUUGACAGUAGACUAGUUGCAUGUUGACCAUCACAUGCUUUUGGAAAUUGACAAACUAUAUGUGGCAUUGCUGGUAGUACUUUCAAUAAAGGUGUGUUUGGCUCAUGGAAUCGAAAUUGGAAUGGAAUCAGAAUGGUCAUAUUCUUCGACACAUUUGGUUCAUAAUUAGGAUUGGAGUUGGAAUUAGAAUGAAAUUUGAAUACCAGGUGGGAGUCCGGAUUAGAUUUUGAGGAAUUGGGUCGUUCCUAUUUUUUCUUGAAAUCGGAAUAAGAAUGGGACUCCUUCCAACCAAACAAUUGGAAUGAGAGUCACUUAUUUCCAUUACCAUUUUCAAAGUCCAACUCUCCCUACCAGACAUGCCCUAAGAUUAGUAGUGUUGACCGAGGAUUCAUGUUUUUGGCAUUCUUCUCCCUCUAAAAUGUCAAGAUAGCGUCAGGACCUAGGAUUGAUGUUGCAAGCUCUAUACAAAUUCCGAUUUUUGUCAAAUAAGAAUUCCUUAAACAUGCUUUUGCGAAUCGGUAUUUUCAUGUGGAUUUGCAAUACGAUUCAUUAUAUAUUGUUUUAAAGAGACGACUUUCCGUGAAGGCAUGUAUUUCAUGCCUUUGCUGGGACUCGGGUUUACCUAAAUUACUUGUUCCCAUUUUGCAAAUUUGUUCGUUUCAUACAGAUUUGCAAUUUGAUUUCUUAUAAAUUGUUUUAAUGGGAUGGCUUUCCAUGGAGAGACGUAUUUCAGUCUCUGCUAGGACUCUCGAUAUAUAGGAUUGGCAAUUGAGUUGGAAUCUAAUCCUAUGAUAAGCUAGAUGCUUUGGUCUCACUAGAGUUUUAAUCUUUGCGUCCUUACAAAAUUAAUGGUUGGAGCUUGAAAGCUCGGAGAGGUUAAAAUUGUUUGACAAAGUGAGAUCGUGGAAGGAUCGAGGAGUUCAGAUGUAUGGAUGGGGCUGAUGUAUUAUUUAAAAGGUUGGGAAGAGAUCCUAAGGUAUCUCAAUUAUUUGAAAAUUGUGCGGGUCAUUAGAUAAAAUUGUAAAAGGUAUGAAUUUUUAGUCCAUGAUUCUUGAUCAACAUCUGUGAUUUAUCAAAAUCAAUAUUUUAACGAGUUAUUAUCAAGGAUUGUAGUACUCGUUUGCUUGUUAACACAUUAAUAGUAAUUAAAAAAACGUAUUUUCUAGUCAUACUGGGGUUCAUUAUUAAAGUCGGGUUCCCUAGAAAAUAGGGUAUUUCAAUUUUCAAACCUAAGAUCAAACAAAGUGAACCAAUGGAUCAGGUAACGUAGGACGCGCUAUAGUGGUGACGCCCUUUUUGCAAGCAAUCAGAGAUUCCGGGUUUGAUGGUGUAUUUUCAACAACCGGAACUACGUAAUUAUAUUGCUGGUGGUGGCCACCCUUCCUUUCCCAGAAAAAAACAUGCAUUUGAGCACCCGUUUGCUCUUGUACUCUUCGUCCAACCAUUCAAUAUGUGGCAUUCUUAUUGAAACACAUGCACGGCUGCCAAGAGUACAUAAGAUCUCCAAAGAGAAGAGAAAGACAAACGUGGCAUUGCUAUUCCCAGAUUUUUUGGAAGGCCUCGAAAGAGAAGCUCUUACUAGAGGCCAAUUUUUUUUUUUUUGCCAUGGUUAGGAUAUAUUUGUAGCCUCCGUAUGCAAUUCUUCUUUUGCGCCCUAGCGGAUGCGACUAACUAGUACAUUUAGCGUAAAUUGGCAGGCUAGGGUUAGGAACAUUCUUAAGAGUAAACCCUGAGAUGAGACGAUAGGCAUUUGUGCCCUUGUCCGUUAUCAUCGUUGCCAGUCUCUCAGAGAAUAACGUGACGUGGUCUUGCUCUGGAGCUUCACCAAGGUGGCGUUUCCCCUGCCUGCAACACGAUCGAAAUGUGAACGGUUGAGGGCACCAAUUUGAGAUGGGACGUCGCUUAAAUGCCUCGAUGCUUUAUCAGUUGCAUGCGUAAGUUGGCACAACGCGACUUUUCAUCUCUCGUGCUUAUCCAAAAUUUUGAUCUACGUGCCCCCGUCGGAAGUACGGUUUCAUCCGACGUGUUGCAUUGCUUCUCCGAAAUUUUGAUCUACGUGCUUGUACGAAAUUUUGAUCUACUUGCUUAUCCGAAAUUUUGAUCUACGUGCCCAGGUUCUUGUUAAGUGAUUCCUGGAUUCGAAAUUCUGCAUGUUUGUGCCCUCGACGUCUAAAUGAUUCCUGGAUUUGUUAUUGAGGCAUCGAACAAGAUUUGAACAACCAUAACGGAAGGUGGAAGUUGAGUUCUCGAUGGUUGUUUGUUAAAUGUUUCAUGGAUUCGCUAUCGUUGCAUCGAACAAGAUCCACCACGAAUUAUUUUAUACAGGAGUAGUGUUAGCACCUACUUGCUUACGCGGGAGUGGAUAUGGUUUUAUGGCAUGAUGUACUUGAACAUAAGCUAUUUUGCUCUCAUCUAAUUCAUGUUUAUUAUAACUUUUGUCCGACCUAGAUUCAAAUUUGGAUUUUAGGUUUUUUUUUGGAUUUGGAUGAGGAUGUUCAGUAAAAUUCAAACUUAGGAUUCCAGAACUUAGGAUGCAAUGCUGGCUAGGCUCAGCAAAAGAUAUAAUUGAAUUGGUCGGAUUUGAGCUUAACCCAGCCGACUUCGAGCCUACUUUUCAGGCUUGAGCCUAGUACUUACUUGGGCUUGGGGCUUUGAGUCGGGCCUUGGGUUGGAUCGCAGGCUUCCUAGAUUUUUCUUUUAGUUAAAAAAAUAUAAAAAUGUAUUUGCAAAGAUUAAAUAUUUGAAAGUGAUUGAUAAGGCCCAUGAACUUAUGUUUAUGGUUGUUAUAAGGAGUGUUAGCGAGGCUUAUUAUUUAUUUAUUUUUCUUGUGACCAAAACCAUAUUCCUAAGUAGGGGUGAAAGUGGAUCGGAUAAUUUGCGUCUGAUAUGUUUUCAUAUCCGAAUCUGUCUAGAUAUAGAUAGAAAUUUGAUUAUCCGAUUAAUACCCAUAUUCAUAUUCACAUCCAUAAAAAAAAAACGGAUGUGAAUAUGAAUAUGAAUAGACAACUAUUUGAUUGGUAUCCGAAUAUUUCAUUAUAUUUAUAAUCUUAUUUAAUUUUAUAUAGUACUCAUGAAUUUUUAAGAGAAAUAUAUAACCUAAUUAACAUGCUAUUAACUUGAUUUAUCAUUCAUUAAUUUUUUUUGAUUUUAUGGUUAUAAAAUUUAGUUAUUUGAUUUAAAUUUAUAUUUAUAUCCAUAUUUUUAGUAUCCGAUUUGUAUCAAUAUCCGUUUAAAAUAAAUAUGGAUAUAAAUUUUUGCGUUCAACUAAUAUCCGUAUUUGUAUUUAUAUUGUUAAAUAAAACAAAUAUGGAUAUGGACAUACUGGUAUUCGAUCCGUAUCCAAUUUGGUUUCAACCAUAUUUCUAAGACAUAAGUAUAUGUUCUAUGUUAUAUAAAAUUUGGGUCAGGUAUAGCUAAACUCGAGCUUGGCCGGUUUUAACAGAUGGGCUCAUAUGUUAUGCCUGGCCCAACUCGUCGGGUUUAAAAUCCAUGCCCAAGCCCAUCCAAAAUGCUUCGAGCUUUGGUGGGCCAUCCAGCCCAUGAAUAAGACUAAACUAGAGACACGUCGAAGAAACAAACCCAACCUCCUAAUUUUGUAGGUUGUUCUUAUACCUAUUGAAAGUAUUGAUAUUGUUAAAUAAUCAUUUAAUAUAUUCAAUUUUUUUUAAAAAAUAAAAAAAUAUUUUUAGGUAUUUUCAAAAUUUAUUGCUAAAAUAUUUAGAAAUCUUAGUAACUUCUAUGUACAAUAUAUUUAUAUAUACUUUUCUUGCACUCUCUCUAUAAAAAAUGUAAUUGAUGAUUAUUUUUUAUUUUUGUUAUAAUUAAAAAGUAAUAAUAAUAUUUGAUAAAAAUUAUUUUUGAUAUUUUUAUAUUAUAAUUUAUUUUAAACAAUUUUAAUACUUAUUAUUUUAAUGAAAUUCGGUCGGGCUAAUAAUUUGGACUCUUUUUUAAGUCAGUCUCCAUGCGGUUUUAAUAAUCAUGUUUUAAACUUUUAGUUAUCUUUCGUGAUAUGUAAUCUACAUAGUGAAUUAAGAUUCUUUAUUAUAAAAUUAAUAUUAUUUUUCAUUAUUGAGUUUUACUAAAAAUUCGAUUUAUAUCCGACUUAUGUUCGUGUUAAGGUGGAAAAAUAUAGAUAUAACUAGCUUCCAACUUGUAUGUAUAUAUACAUAUAUAUACACAUACAUAUACAUAUGUAUGUAUGUAUGUAACUAUGCAUGUGUAUAUGUAUAUGUAUUUAGGUAUGUAUGUAUAUAUAUGUAUGUAUAUAUAGAGACGAAAUAUGGAUAUUAAUUUUUGAUAUCUAUUUAGUAUCUAUAUUCGUAUUCAUAUUCGUAGAAUAUAGGGAUACAAACAGGACUAUAUCUCUGUUAUACGAGGCCGAUGCGGAGUACGAUGAUGGCAUAUAUUGGACUCCCAAGGGGGCACGCUCGUUUAAAUUCCAUUGCAAGAAAUCUUGAAUGUUAUGUACGUCCGGCGGAAUCCCUAGGAUUUAGCUCAGCCUGUAGUGGUCAUCGAAGUACAAUGUUCUUUCUAGUCUAGCGCAUGAUUAGCAUUCACUGUUUCUCUUCCUGACGUUUUUAACAUCAAACGUGGAAUACUGAUAGUGUUGGGAACGAUUGCAUCCACUUCCAAUGUUAAGAGAGCGAGCAUUUGUAGCCUUUCCAUUCCAUUGUUACCGUUGAGAAGAAGGUGAUGUAUUUCUUCUACGAGAUUCUUCCGACAGAAAAAUGUUUUACGCUAUCUCACUCCUUUGUAGAUCUAUUUUGCAGCAUAAAUGCCUCGUGUUUGUCCUGUCGCCGUCAAGCUUACCAAUCUAUUAUUAUUUCUCUUUGUAGGUGAAGCUGGACGCCAUUUUCACCCUAUAUUCCUGCUGAUGGAGACGUGGGAGAGCAGUCUUGUAUAUUCCGCUGCAUUAGCAUGCAGACCGAGUUUAACGGCAGUGCCAUAUGGAUAGAUGCAUCAUGAAUAUGUUUUCUUUACCAAAAAUAUUGGACUAGUAAGUAGGGAAAGCUGUUUUAUUAGGAUAAAGAGACCUUAGCUGAUGAUGUGGUUUUAAGUUUUAUAUGAACCGAACAACAAUUUUAGAAUCUGGAUGCUUGGUCAUUGCAGUAACCUAUUAGUGCCAUUGAUGAUAACAAUUUUGCUUGUUCCAUUAUUUACGUUUGUUUUUUGAUCCCUUUUUCUCUUUUAAAUUGAACUCAGAUCUCUGGCAUAACCGACUAAGUGGUUUUACUAGUAAGAUAAGGCUAGCACCUUCUUCUUUUUCACUGUUCAUUGAAUCAUUUAUUUGAAUUACUACUUAGUUAUAUGUAAUUGAAUCUGGAAUGACUUGAAAAAUGAAGCUUAUUUCUCUACAAGUAGUAGGUUCUUAUACCUUGAUCCAAGUGUGGUUGGUCAUAGUGGGACUAUCCUUCUGGGUUUCUUGUAGUUGAUCUUGUGACCAAGUUCUUGUACAAGGAUGCAUCUCGGGUUGGGCUCAACUUGUAUCCCAUUGGCCCAACUUUCCUGUUGGAUCGGGUCCAACGAAACUUUUGUGAACUUGGGCUAAGUCCGACUUGCUGGUUCCAACCCAGCCCAAAUUCAAUACGAACGUAUCUCGAGCCCUUGAACCAAAACAUCAAAAGUGUUCGACUAAAUAUUUCAUAUGUGAUGCUUAUAUGCUCGAUGUAAUUAUAUUACUAGUUCUGUUGAACUAAAGAACUGUACAAGCAUCACUGCUUAUGGUGCCUCCCACAUUUCCUUCUUUCAAUUCAACCAAACUUUAGAAGCGUUGCAAACUUUCUCUACGUUAAAAUCCUGAAUCAACCUAAAGCAACUGGAUUAAUAGGACUCGAUCCAAUCCAAUACCAACCCAACGCAGCUUGAAUGGUAUCAAGUUGGAUAUAUCCGGAUUCCCACCCUAGGGCCGGGUUGUGUUUUGUCUGGCUUGAGAUCUAUAGAGCUUUGGUUGGAUUUUAACCAUGUACAACCCAGUCUGUUUGACUUGCACCUUUAGUUGUCUAUAAAUUCUUUCACCAAAGAGAGAAAAAAGGGAGAGUGAAGACUUCUUGGUCAACGGUGACUGCUAAUGCCGCGUGGCCCAUGUAAUUGAUAGGAUGGUUGAAGUUUUUAAGACUGUUGAUUCUUAGGAGACAUUCAAGUGUAGUUUGACUUGAUUUUGAUUACCAGCUAUCAAUCAAAUACCAUCCCUUAGUUUUCUAAUAUGACCAUUGAACUAGUAUCGACAACCUUAAAAUAUCAACCGGCAUAACAUUUAUGAUGUGUAUAUGAAAAAAUGAUAUUGUACUCCAUAAGGUUUUUCAUGGCAAUGAAGGGGGCAAUUCUGACUCCACAUGUGUGAUGGCGCAUAUUUAUAGCUUGUAGCUUAUUUUUUCAACCGUGCAACUUUAAUAAAUUUAGCCUUUUAUUUAAUAUUCAUAAUAAAUUGAACUCUUUUUCCUAUUUUACCAGAAUUAUUUAAUGUGGAACAGAACAUUCGCUUUUCAUGCUGGGAUAGGUGGACUGAUGGUUUAGUAUAAAGAUGCAUGACAAUUUUGAUGUAUUUAAUUGUGGUCUUCAUGUAAUAUGAAUUGUUUCACUAAUUGAGGGCAAUAAAAGAUGUAAAAAUGUGAAAAUGAAAGUUGAAGUUACUUGUCACACUAUGCUUCUCCUAUAUUGUUCCAAUAUACUAAUAUAUCUUUAGAGAGAUGCCAAAAAUGCUCGAUCCUUCUACAAGAUACUUCUCAAAAUAAGAUAAAUGUAGAGUUGCAUAUGCUUAAUUUGUUGUUUCAAAUCUAGUUUGUCUAAGAUGAAUUGUUUAUCUAAUAGUUACUCAUCAAGGAAAAACAAAACUUCUACCAUAUUAGUCGAAUUAUCCAUGACAUGUUUAUUUUAUUUUAUUAAUUUUUUUGAAUGACAUGUUUAUUGCUAGUGAGUUGCAUAUGUGGGAUGGACAUAUAAAUAAACUUAUUGAUUACAAUCAUAUGAUUAUGAAACCAAAUGUUUGUCGAAAGCAAUCAAUUCUCCUUUGGAAAUCCUAGUCGAGUUGAUCAAGUACUAUUAAAAACAUUAUCAUUUGUCAAAAUAAAAUUUGUAACCAGAGGAAAUCACUGAAAUACGAAAAUAAAAAAUCAUACUCAUUAUGAAUAGAAAAUAAUAAAAAAAUGGGCACUCCCAAAGGUCCCUCUUCUUAGUGGGGAGAUCUCUAAGUUGGACUGAAGGUAGUAACUAGUCCAUAUUUCUUAUGGAAAAAAGGAAAAUCAAAAGUUAGACAAUAAUAUGUGUUUCUAACUUGUAACAGUAAAAUUCUUAUUGUCUAGAAGUUUCCGACACCACAUUUCUCACUAUAAAAUAUUUUGAAUGUUCUACUAUAACUUCAAUUUUCACCAAAAGCACUCCAAUUGUGAGAAAAAAUAACACUAGAUAGAAUGAAAGUAGUUUGAAGUCUAAAAUCCAAUUGCAAUAGCUUUGAUGAAGUUUACAAUUAGUUUGUUUGCACAAUGUUGGUCAUUAAAAGUCUAGCUUAUCUUUUGGAAAAAAGUUUAUAGUAUGUAGUAACUUAUAUACUAUUAGGGGGUGCAAAUGAGAUGCAAUCACAAGGAAGAUAAAAGGAUUUGGUUAGGGCAUCUCUACAUUGAUAUGGGCAUAAAUGUGCAUGUGUGUUAUUUAAUGUUUUAAUGUUAAGUGAAUUGGUUCUUCCUUCAUGUCCCUAUCAUUUAAAUUUCUAAUAUUUAGAAUUAAUCGUUUAACUUUGGAAGAUCAAGAUUUGAAAUCAAAGACUACACUCAAAAUUUGGCAAAGGACAUCUAUUGUCCAUGUGAAAGUUCAAGCAAAGAUAUUCGUAUUGAAGGCUUUUAAAUUAUCAAAAUAAUUACCUUCAGUUGCUUUAUAAGACAAGCUUCAAGUAUUACUUAAAAUGAUGAAAUAUGUUGCACUCUGGUAAGCUAUGCUUACCAAUGUGGAUCCUUCAUGUUGGUUUGGUCAAACACUAUAAGAUAAUCAUUUCCAUUGCUUCAAUUUUUAAUCUUCCAAUUAAAGAGGAUUUAGUAUUUGUUAAGUUUGUACUCUUCUCCAUGUGUCAAUAGGUCAAAAUUAAGUUUGGGCGGCCCCAAAUCUUAAUGUUGAGUCCUAAGCCUGUCCAGGCCCCAGCCCUACUUUGGACAUUCAAAUAUAGGUCCUAGAUCAACUCAUGUCUGGAUUGCUUUAAUUGGCAUUGCAUUGAUAACCGAGAAUUUAAAGUAACACUAUUGAAAUCUAUAUUGUUAUUUUAUUAAUACGGAUUCUGUACUAAUAUGCAAUGUACCCCUUAGUGUUAAUAUAGUAAAAUAGAGAUGAAAUACAGUAUGAUAGAGAUGGCACAAUACUAAUGUGGUGAACAUACUAGUACCAAUCUUUCAAAAUUGUUUAGUGAGAUUGAUAUGGAUCAAUAUGCAUUAAAUCCUUGCUAAUAACACCAACAUAAGGCUUUAGUGAAGUUUGCAAAUUUUAUUCUACUGUUUAUCUGCUUAUUUAUGCAGUCCUAUUAUUCUCUCUCUUCAAAAAUAUCUGCUUUGGAUAAAACAAAUGGUAUAAUAAUUUCCAAAAAUAUAUGUGUAUGGAUGUACUGCCGAAGAUCAUCUUUUAUCUUUUUCUGUAUAUGAUAAUUUAUCCAACUAUUACAUUUUAAGUUAAUACCCUCAUGGCCCUCGAGCCUAAUAGCCAAGUCCAAGCACCACCUGGUCCACAGGCUGUUAUAAAAUAGAGCCUGAUCCAAAAUGAGCCAAGCCAUAUACAUGCUCAAGCUAUGCUAAGAAAAAGGAUUUAUCCUCAAAAUAGUACAAGCAUGCAUACCUGCAUGAAUACGUGUUGUUUCAAGCUAAAUUUAGCACCCAAGUGAUCAAGCUCGUCGUAUAUCGCUAAGCCAGAUCAGGACUUGCUCGCUCAGUUUAAAUGCAAUACAAGCGAUAUCUUUUAAACCAUGCUUUUUAAUCAAAACAAAAACUAUCUUUCUAAAAAGGCAUUAAUCAAGUCCUUAUUCUACCAUUCGAUGAUCCUCCUGGCUCAAACAUCUUCGAUCGACUCAUCUGUAGCACUAAGCUUUGACAUCAAUUUUUGGCUGCACAGAAUUCUUAAAGAGAAAAUUUAUCAUCCUGAACUAAUACAUUUCGAUGGAGAAAUAUGACUGUCAUUCAAGAAUAGGAAGAGAUCAUGCAUCCAUGCAAUGACAUAGAUGAUAUCAUGCUUAUAAGUAUCACUGUCUCUCAUGCAUGAAAAAAUAUCUUAGGAGAUUACAUUUGUCAUAGUAAGUAAUUGCAAUAUUAUUGAAUUUAUCCAAGUAUGUAGGAACCCCAGAUUGGUGUCACACGGUCCAAUAGAAAGAGAUGCUUGAAGCUGAUUCUUGGUAAAAUUAUAUGUUACCAAAAACUUAGGAAAAGAAGCAUUAGAACCAUGCUUAUCUCCCUCCAUGGCCCCCUACAUAGCAAUUCGAAACUCGAGAGAUCAUUUCGUCGUCGUGUCCCGUUGCUUUAAAGCUUAUGCUCGUUCUCGCCCGCCCGCUCGCCCGCCCGCUCCUCCAUUUCUGGUCUUUCGCGUCUUCCAAUAUCUCUCCAAUCCCUUGGCACUCCGAGGCCGAUCGAGCGAAAUCCCGCCGUUGUUCGGAGAUCUCAUCACUCUGCGGCAAUGGCCCGCUCUUCAGGUCUCAGCUCUCUCGCUUCUUCUGAAAGAUCGGAUUUUUCUAAUCUCUGGAUGCCCGGCUCCCCGCAUAUCUAAGGUUUGGAUCGGAGGCACGGGAAAAGGAGCUCCUUUUUGGUAUGGUUCAUUCUUGAUCCUCGGGUUCCCUUUUUAGUUUGUCUCUCUUUUUUCUCGGAUUUUGAGGAGUUUCCUAUCGUGGUGAUGCCAAAUAGGAAAGAUUCUGAUAGUUUUCUUGAAUCGUAGAUACCUUUUUUCUGGGGCUUCUCAGUUUCCUUUCUAGCAGUCUAGAAUAUUGGAGCGAUUUUUUUUAUAAAAGGAAGCACCUUUCGUUGCCUCCGAAGACUUGUGGAUCGUUUUCUUUCCAGGGCUCCGUCUCUGGUUCAGAUCCCCACUUAGUUCCAGGAUUCCCAUUGGUUUCUCUUGCAAAGUUGAUUCCUUUGAGAUAAUUAGUCUUGGAAAUCUAAAUCAUGGACAAGGACAAGGCCCCAGUUCAUGGCGGAGGUGAUGGUUUCCCAACCCAUUCUUCUCGCUUCUCUGCUUUUGCUGCAUCCUCGAGCAAAGUCCCGUUUAUGGGUGAUCCCUCGCCUUCAUCCUCCUCGCAUUCCAAUCCAGAAUCCAGCCGUUCCGGCCAGCUUAGCCACGACAUCAGCCGCAGUCCGGAUUUCCCACCGAGAAACCCCGGCCAUCGACGGGCCUACUCGGAGAUCCUCAGAUUCCCAGAUGACACCAGCUUCUAUAGCGACCUCGGUAUCGUUGGCCCAUCAUUGUCUGAUGACACUGAUGAGGACUUGCUCUCUGCCUACCUUAAUAUAAAAAAGUUGAAUUCUUCUUCGGUCCUGUCGGGCGGUCAGCCUUCUGGGCCGGCUGCAGCUCCCCUUUCUCCUUCUCAGACCGAGAACUUGGCCUCGGGUUUGAAUGAGAGGCCGAGGGCUAGGCACCAGCAUAGCUGGUCCAUGGAUGGGUCCUCCUCGGUUCUGCUGGGGUCGAGCAGUGAGGGACCGACAUCAGCUGAGAUGAAGAAGGCUAUAUCAGCUGCAAAGCUUGCUGAUCUUGCUCUCGUUGAUCCAAAGCGAGCAAAGAGGUUUGGCUGAUCCAUCACAAUUUCUUUUUUUAUUGUGUUGAAGAAUGUACCUCCUGCAUUGCACAUAGGUCUUGAAGGUUUAUGUUGAAAUUAAAAGCAAUUACACUUUAAGAUAUGUGUAGCAUUGGAUUCUAAUCCAUGUCAAACAGGUGAUAAGAGGUCAGCCUCAAUCUUGCCUAGGAUAUGAAGAAGAAACUAUGGGGUAUUCAAUAUUAAGUAUAAAUUUGGCAUGAACUUAAAAGACAAAGUGUAGAGGGCUUUGGAAAUAUCCAUGCUUUCAUGCUCCUACUCUUGAAUCUACUUGCACACCCUCACAGUGAUCUUUAAGCAACAAGAAUCAUAAAUGCAUCUGUCUUUAUAAAACAAGAUCCUUAUGCAACAUAGUCGCAUUUGCUACCCCGUACUAUUUAAUAUUCCUUUAUUCCAGCACCUACUGAUUGCACCUGCCCAAGUUAAGAAUUUUCAGAGUUUGCGUUUUCUCCAUAGUAGGUUUUUCAUCAGCAUUUUCUUCAUAUCAAGUUUUCAAUCAGCAUCUCUAACUACUAGAGUACCUGUGAGUGCGUUCAGUUAUGAGAAUCGCUGCUUCUAGCAUAUCAGAGGCCCAGUGAUGGCAACUGUCAGUGGCAUCUUAUUAGAUACCAAUCUUGUUCUGUCUCAUGCUUAAUUGUUGCACAAAUUUCUUCUUUCAUGACCUUUUUCUGUAGGCAAAUGCAGCUUAAGCAUAUACAUGGGUAGAAUUACAACUUUUGGAACUUCCCCUUCCAUGAUAUAGCUGCUCUUUAUAUUCUUCAUCCCUAAGCUUGUAACUUUGGCCCUUAAUCCAAAAGCCCUAGAUUAAACUCUGGGGUCGUAACUAAUAAAAUUGAGACAAAAUUGCUGCUAGGUUACACUUUACUGUCAUCUCACAGAAGAUCAUUGUUUUUCUUAGAUUUUUGUUGUUAAUUUAGUUUUAUUAUUUUCACAUAAACAUAUCAUUGUUUGUGACACUAUGAACUAGUUUUGAGUGCUAUUUAAGCAGCAAGGAAACAUAAAAUCCACCCAUUUCAUACAAUGUAAUCUAUCAGGAAACAUAAAAUCCACCCAUUUUCGUAAAAUGUGACCUAUCAUUCCACAAGUGAAAUUGUAAAUCAUCCUUGACCAUGCAUCUCGCCAUUACUUAUGUAUUCAAGUAGCAUCGAAUUCAACCCCGAUCAGACACCAUUCAGAAAGCUCUUCAUCAUUAGCUGUAACAUUAUUUUGACUGUACAUUUUGUUCAUUUAUAAUGGUUCAUGCUCUUUCAUAUAAUUCAUACAUGUUAAUAAGAAAAUGUAUCAUCUUAAAGUAAAAUUUAGGUACCAAUUUCAGGUGUGUAACAACAAACUUUUAUUCUCUUACACCCAAAUCAUGUAUAUAUCUCUUAUGCUACAGCAUCUCUUUGCAUGUGUUUCUAGUUGACAUGCUCUGUGUUUUGUUUGGGGAUAGUUACAACUUUUGGAACUUUGUUUUUAAUUUAAAAACUAUAACAUAAAUGAAUCUUUGGGCAUGCUCAUUUUAGUUUCAACUCUGUUGAUAGAUUCAUGAAAACUUGCCAUGCACAUCACACACACCAUACCUUAUACACAAGAUUUUUGUCGUCGAAUCACAUGCUUAAAAACAAAGUUCUUAGGGAUCAUGAUAUGUAGUUGCCACCAUUGUUUAUGCACAGCACUUCAAGAGCAUCUGAUUUUUGAAUUCAACCAUAAUAAACAGUGCCCUCUAGAUGGAGAAUGUUAGAUCAUUUUUAAUUUGAUGAUCUUGGUAAUUAUUUUACCACAUCAAGUGUAACAAUCUAUAAUUUUGAAUUAUAAGAAAAACAGAAAAAGGAAAAGAACAAGGAAUGACAUUGGUCUUGUAUGGUGUCAACCAAGUAAUUUUCCCAUGUGCAUUGUGUGCCAACACUUCAUUUACCAAACUCUUCUUCUAUUCGACUACAGUUAUCCUGUGUGUUUGGGUCCUCAAUAUAAGAUGUUUAGAUACAUAAUGUUAUAUGUUGUUGCCUCAACCUAUGUAUUUAUUUAAAACAAAGAUACUGUUAAAUCUUCAAACAUGUUUAUCCCUGUUCUUAAUUUCUAUAUUGAUGAUGACCUUGGCGGGAUGGAUAGGAUUUGGGCAAACAGGCAAUCAGCUGCAAGAUCAAAAGAAAGGAAAACGCGAUAUAUUGCUGAGCUUGAGCAAAAGGUGCAGAGUCUCCAAACAGAGGCAGCAACAUUGUCAGCUCGAUUAACAUUGGUACAGGUAUAUAUCUCAGUAGUUGUUUCAUCAUUGUACAUAUGUUAAAUUUGAAAGACUGGAAAAUCCUAGAAAAUAAACUAGGACAACACUCCAACUUGCUUCAUCCGACACCACUAUUAUUAUUACUUUAAGAUUGAACUAAGAACCAUUAAUUAAUCAUAUUGGCUGUUUGAAUAUCAGAUCUACUUAUGUAUAUACCUGCAUUGGCAGAUGAGAAUGCAAGAUGUUAAAGUUUCAUAUUAUUUGAUCUUAUGUACUUGUUACAAGUCUUAAGAGUUUAAUUAGACCUAAUUCUGCCAUGCUGCUAAACAAUACUUCUUGCAAGCCCUCAAACCCCCCACCCCACUGAAAAGAUAAAUAAUAAAAUAAAUAUACAAAAUAUUUUCCUUUAAGUUGGUAUAACUAUUCCGUACUAAUGAGAAGUUAUUGCGGAUAUGGGAAGUGAGCUUAGAUUUGGGAAUAGGGAAUGCCAGUUUAAAGAUAUGUAGGAAAACAUGGGAUAUAAAAAUCUUUGCCUUUCUUACUUCUCUACUAUGAAUUUCAAUUUUUUCCUUUGGCACUUGUUUCAUUAUUCUUUUCAAAUUUUCUUCAGGGACAGCUAUAUACUCCAACAGCUUUUAGAAAACUAAAAUUAUUUUAUUUCCCAGGCAUCUUUACCAAGAAAUAGAUAAGCACUUGGAUAUUUGUGUAUUAUAAAUCAAUGUUCAGAGGUUGAUAUGGUAGACCUAUAUCCUUUAUCGAGUUGAGUAAUUAUUAGCAUGAGGAUCUUAUAUAUUCUUGAGCAGGACCAAAAUUACACUAUAUACAUGCAUGGAUUGAAUGAUAUUCAUAUUGGCUUGUAAUUACAGAGAGAUACCAAUGGUUUGACAGCUGAAAAUAGCGAGCUGAAGCUGCGAUUGCAGACCAUGGAACAACAGGUUCACUUGCAGGAUGGUAAGGUUCUUUUAUGAAAUUUGGUACUGUGCACCUCUUCCUAUUAUCUCACCACACGGUUUUCCUUGGUAUGUUCAUUUAGACCUUAGGUUUUCAACAUGAUUGUAGAAUGUGUUUUCCCCUCAGAAAAGGGAAUGCAGAAUGUGGUGGUAAAGCACUUACUUUUCAUUUAAUCUGUCAAAUUUCAAUUGGUUAUUCACUAGCAUGAAGGAAGCAACAAUUAAAAAAAAAUAGUGGCGGUUUAAAAGCUACUGUAGGUGUUGAGGAAUUUUCAUUUUUGUUUAUCGAGGAACGUGAGACCAUUUGGUGUUUUCAACAUCCAUACUUUGUUUGCUUAGAUAUUUUAUUCAUCCUUUCCAAAGUUUAUGCUCUUUUCUUACCAUAAAAAAAAGAAAAAAGCUUAUGUUCUUUAUUUGUGUAGCUUUAAAUGAUGCACUGAGAGAGGAGGUUCAGCGGCUGAAGUUGGCAACAGGCCAGCUGAUGCCAAAUGGCGGUCCAUUGAUGAAUUUUGGACCACCAUUAUUUGGAUCAAGUCAACAAUUCUACCACCACAACCAAGCGAUGCAAUCGCUCCUGGCAGCCCACCAAUUUCAGCAGCUCCCGAUCCAUCCUCAGCAUCAACAGCAGCUGCACCCACUUCAGCCUCUGCAGCAACAGCAGCUGCACCUUCCCCAGCCUCAGCCACCUGCAGACCUGAGGAUGAAGUGUCCAAUGACUUCUUGGAACAAAAGGGGAAAGGGAACAUCAGAUAACAGCAAUUGAAAUGAGUGAGGACAAUUUUUGUGGAGUCAGUAGCUGUCCAACUCAUAUCUAUACUAUGUGACCUGCGUUUUUGUUGUUUAUAUUCUUUGCGCCAUUAAUAUAUGAAGUUUAGAAAGUUCGAUUACCUAGUUUGAUCUGCUUCCUGGAUCAUUUAGAUGUUGGUGAUCUUCCAAGAUAACAUCUGCCAGUUUCUUCUCGUCGUAGCUCACCAUUUUGGUAAAUGUGAUGUUUCACACGAUAAUUUGUUGGUUUAUGAAUUCAGAAGUCGAUUAAGGAUGUUUAUGAAUUCACUUUGCUAAGCACCUGAGUGACAUUGGAAGUUGGUGAUUCAAUUUGGAGCUCGUCUUAUAAAUGAUUGUGUUACUUCUUCUCUUGUUUGAUAUGCUGCAGUGAUUUUUUUUUCUUUUUUGAAAAAGCCAGUUGUUUGUGCUCUAUCUUAGAGGUGCUUGAGGCUGUUUCAAUUUAAUGGAGUAGAUGCUGAAACAAGUCCCUUCUGACUAACAAUUGCAGCCCUCAUCAUUGUUUCUGAUAAAAAUACAGGGGAGAGCUGGACAUGUUCUAGGGCUUGUUCAGCGGCAGAGUUGACAUAAAUUUCAGUGGCACUUGCUGCGAAUCAGAUGCCCAACAACAUAUCCCCUCAAGCUUCCUUCUCUUCAUGUCUCAACAAGGUUAGAACGCCCUGCGUGAUAUGCGGCGACUCAGCAUACUGCUGAGUUAACAAGUAUAGGUUGGAUAGAAAUGUUUCUAGCAAUCUGUUUAACAUCUUGUACUCUGAGAUACUAGAAGGAUGCAUUGAACAAGACUUGAAACCAGUAUCUCUGUUUAGGUGGAGUGUGCCUAGUGUUAUCCACUUAUUAUUCCAAAUCUUGAAUAUUUUGACAUACUAGAUACUUGAUGCUUGGGACCAUCCAUAACACUCAACAGUACACAUGGUUAAUUUAUUGCACCAUUGUCAUCAUAUGUCUACUGUUGAUAUUUCUAGAGGAAUAAAAUUAUUAAACUAACAAAUAAAUUAGGAAACCUUUUAUUGAUUUUGUGAACUAAAAAAGCAAUAUAUCCAUUUCAUUAUUAAUGGACACAUAAAUGGACUGUAUUUAGACAAAUAUAUGUAAGAUAUAAAUGUGUCCCAUGUCUGAUUUUUGAAAGACUCUUGGAUUCUUCUGAACAUUCUGAUACUUGACACUUGUGUUACUUAUCUUAGUAAUGUUGUGUAUGGCAAUUGUAGCAAAAUCUAGUUUAAACCUUUCUAUAUUUUUCACUGCAGCCCUUUAGCCAAUCCAGAAACACUUCCAACUUUCCAAGUCAGAUUCGAUUCAAAUGCUUCGACAUCCUUCUGUUUAAAGAGCUAUGUAAGGACUUUAGGAUAGCAAACAAACUGAUUAGUGUGAUCGAUUGCAAUCCACUUACCAACUGCCAAUGGAUGUAUCUCACUACAUCCCUAAAAAACAUUGCAAUCGGAUCCUCACCUUUCUGCUUUUACACUUUAGAUCCACUUAUUUUGAUCCUGAUGAAACCAAAGGGACAGAAAUAUAGCCCAUAUUUCGUUAAUCCAUUUCCAUGGAAGUCAAAUUUUACGGGUGCGAACAAAGGUUUGUUCUUAUAGUCCCAUCUGUUUGAUCGGCAGGCAACCGUAGGCUGCGGUCCUCGGAGGUUCAUUCCAAGUAUUUACACCCGAGUGAUUAUAGUACAAGUGGAACACCCUCUCAUUUUCUUAAAACAAGAGGUGCAAACAUAUUGGAUUCUUAUUAGAUCCAAGCAAUAUCCAAAUCCAAACCUAAUAACAUAAUUGAGUUUGAAUUUUUCUCAUCACUCGAAUUCAGAUCCAUAAUUGAAUAGCCAAUAAAUAUGAUAAAUUUCAAAAAAUCACUGUUUCGGUAGGACAAGAAGAGAGAAACAAGUAGAAUCUCUAUCCAGAAUGGGAAUAAAACGAGAAAAGAAAGCAAUGGACUCUUGAUCCUUGAUACAGUUAAAAAGGGGUGUGUAGUAUAUAUAUAUAUAUAUNNNNNNNNNNNNNNNNNNNNGGUAGGAUAUAUAUAUAUAUAUAUAUAUAAUUGUUCUUUCUAUAUAUAUAUAAUUGUUCUUUCUAAGUUUCCCCCCUUAUGAAAGAGGAGGAAAAGAUUGGAGCCGAAAGAAUGUCAAGCCCAAUCGGAGUGGAACUAGAGGACAGAGGUGCAUCAUACCGUAGCUUAGAUAAAUAUCCUUAACCAAUGAUCAUAGACUUCAUGAAUUAUAGAUUCUAAUUAUCUUUAAAUCUAUAGUCUGUAUAUGAAGCCAAGAUAUGACUAAAAAGUUCACAUGCAAAUUGCAAAUACGAGUUUUUCCUGAGAAAUGAAGUGCAUAUGUUUGAUAUAUAUUAGAUCUUCGUUAAUAUGUAAUACAUAUCUAGACAUACACGAAUACAUUGCCAGAUAAUUUAUAUGCUAUCAGUUAGAUGUAGGUCGCAUCCAACCCAAGUACCUGAUCCAAUAAACUGUUAAUUAUUGGACUAUCAGAAAUAUUUGAUCCAAUUUGGUGAUCGAAUUAUUGGGUAUUACCGCCCCCCUCAAUUUUGAACUAAUCCAUAGAGAUCACAAAGGUCGGAAGGGCAAAGAUAGAUGUCACAGAUUGACAUUGAGGAAGGAGAUCAUAAUUAAUUGUGCAAUAAGUUUUUAAAGAGCUCUCUUUUCCGAUUUUAAGAAAUUCUGGAGGACAAUAUGAUGGAAAUAACCUCAGUUUUCCAUCAACCUUCUUAGCCCAUGAAAUAUUGUUGUAGCCCCACCUUAUUGUGCCUCUAAACAGCUUUGAGACUGAUGGUUUGGUGCUCAAAUACCUUGCUUGGAAAAAACCUCAUGCUACUCCAUCUCAGGCUUCUCUGAUAAAAAUCCUUGCAUAAUUAUCUAGCCUUUAUAGAACAGGAGGUUCCAAAUAGUGCAAAGGAUGGGGGUUGAAUAAAGAAAUGGCAAACAGAAGCAUGAGGAAACACACAAUAAGCAUCCAAUUUCUGAUACCCUGUAAGUCAUCCCCCUUGCUGCUGCUUUCCAUUAGAUUGAGUUAGGUUUCUCACUGUGCGCCAAAUUACGAGGAUAAAAAGAAAUUUAUAGGAUCCCCAGAUACCUCUAUUCAAAGAACUAAUGCCACACACUCCAAUGGGGAACUCCAUAUUGUUUGAUUGGCUUGUGAUCAACUAGGAAAGAAUGAAAGUGACUCGUCGACGAGCAAAACUUCUGAUCACCUAAACUAUAGAUUCACUGAAUUUGCCAGAAAAUAAUUAUAAUUUUAUGAUUAUAGAUCAUCUAUUACAACCAUGAGUAUGUAAUACUGAGUUAGACUAAUAAAUGACCAAUAAUUGGAAAAUGUUUGCUUGUUCAUAGCUACAUAUUUACCAAACCAGAAACCAGGGAUACCAUGGAGCCACUUAACUGUAAGUAUGCAUCUUAUUAUAUUUAAUAGUAUCAUCAUGACAGCCACAGCAGUGUGUUGAAUUGGUGCUAGCUCAUUGCUUGAGUCUAGAUUGUCUUUUGGAUCUAUAUAUGUUGAAAAUCAUGUUUGCCUGUUCGUUUACAAUAUAUCAUGGAAUUUCAUGCUCGAAAACAAGUGGUAUAGUUGGUUGGAGAAAAUUAGGGAGAAAAAUGACAAUAGGGAAAAAUCAUGAGACGAGAGAACGUUUAGUCUGGAGUAGAACUUUAUAAUUUCAUAAUUCUAGGACUACUUGAAUUCUCAAAGCAUCAAAAGAGUACGUAUGUGGAAUCAAAACUCUUUUCCAAAAACCUAAGGAUCACAGUUCAAUCUAAAGUUAUAAUAGCAACUUGGUAGUGGUGUAUCCAAAUGAAGAAAUAAUGUGACCCCGGCAAUAUUGAUCUAGUGGCCAAAAAAGAAGUUUGCUCAAGCAAUAAAAAUGUAGACCCAUACAUCUGCUUAAUAAUGCCAAUAAGAUCAUCAACAAUAUUCUUAAUGAAGCAAAAUUGAGGUCUUUCAGUUCCCCUAUCCCAUAAGCUUUCAGUAGAAAGAGGUUUACCUAAGACAGCAAAUGGAUGCAGCAGCGCUUACCACAAAAAGCAGAAGGCAACCUUGACAAAGUUUAUGGGAAUGUUAAAAUGACACUGGUUCUGUCAUACCUUCAGAAGGAUGGGACUAGGCUUAAAUUAAAUACACGGAUGUCAUAUGGUGUCAGCAUUUGGUAAAUCAUACCCCCAUGGGUUUCUUCAGUUAUUAUAAAGGUUUAUACCCAAGAUUCUUAGGUCACAGACUCAUUCAAAAAAUAAUUAUGAAGGCGUUUAUACAAAGUGUCUUAAGGCAGAGACGGACAGACUUAAAUGCUUUUACCCAAAUUUAUUAGUAGCUACUUCAACAUGCUAAGAAUAAUCUUUUCAUUUUUCCCAUUAGAAUGAUAUGGGUAAGAAGUCCUAUCUUAAGACUUAGUACUUAAUAUAAGUGAAUAUUUGGUUCCAGGUUAAACUAUCAUAAUUUUUUUAAGUAGAGAUGCAUCUCAAUGGAGGAAAGCUAGGACAUGGCUACAGAUUUUCACCAGCGAAACUGAUGCCCCUGUGAGUGAGGCAAACCAAGGAAGAAUGACAAAAAUGCUGUCCCUAAAAAUAUGGAGAAGACUAGUAAGCUACAACAAGGACAAGAUCAAUUAAACUAAUCCUUUCAAAACUGUAUUUUAUCCGUCCUUCAAGUUUGUACUGCCAUACAGCUUAAGUUGCCGCGCAUUUAGAUAUUAAAAUUGAGGAGUAGAUGCAAUAACAAUAGAAGGAUUUUAUUUGAUGGCCGCUAAAGGCUCUUUUGAGCAAUUGGCUACGGAAAACAAUGAGUAAAGAUUCUAGGUAACUGCGAGUUAUAAGCAACAAUGAAGGUACUGAUGGGUUGGUUAAUGGAAUGCAAAUACCCCAACCUUUGGUGGGAUAUGCCUCGAGUGCAUGCUGUUUUUUCUAUACAGUUAGAUUUAAGGUUGGUGUUUAUGACCACAAUGGAUUUCAGAAGAAUAAGUUAGCUGCAGAGGGUGAGCUAUUCCUGAUAAGGGAUAGUCUCCUUCCUUUAAAGAACUACAUGAUGGGGAAAUGAAAAGGAUAAUGGAUUAAUCUGAAGAAGCGCUCCAAAAUCCCUUAAUUAUUCUAGCUACCUGCUUGCAAGGAGUGAGACUAAACACAAUUGGAUAAGAAAGUUCAAUCUUCAAAAGCUGCUACUGGAGUUCAAAAUUUUACCUGGCUAUAAAAUUGAAUCUUAUUUGAGGAAACCUUUUAACAGGGGAGAGGGGGUUGACUCAGUAUGUAUCGUGAGAUGAAGGGAAACUAUUGCGCAACUUCAUUUUUUUCUUUUAAGAUACAUCUUCCAGUACAUAUUGUCCUAUCCUGUGAAAUAUUUUGGGAGAAUGCCCAUUCAAUGUUAGCCUUCCAUAACUUUCAUGCAGGGCCUUGAAGAGUUAUUCAUGGCUUAGCAUAACAAGUAUUUUGGUAGAAGAUGAGUGAAGAUUUUCAGAGGCUCUGUUUUAUAUAAUAUCAUUGUUCAAGAGUCCUAGUCCCUUAGAAAAAGGCUAUUUAAGCUUGUUUUAAGAUGCAAGAGGAGCCUCAAGCCCUGAAUUUUCACCCGCUGUAUUUGAUAUUCCUUCAGCCAACAAGAGUGUAGGAGAUGGCAGAACUUCAACGCAUGAUGAAAAUUUCGGUUCAUUCUAUAUAAGAUAAGAAAGCUUUCUUCUUACUAUGUUUUCAUGCAUUGAAGUUAUGAACACUUCAAACUCGGUAUUUAAGUGGUAAACUCCGCCUUACUUUUAUUUUUUUAUUCCCUACUUCCGAACACUUCAAACCAAGGACUGUUGUGCUGAUACCGGGCCUUGGAUCGGUUGCCCGCGGCAUGGGUCGGUACGUCCCAAUGCCAUGCCGGGCCUAACCUGUAUCGACACGGUAGAGGAGACGAGAGAGAGGGAGAAUGGGAGAGAGAAAAAAGAGAGAGAAAAGGGAGGCCAAAGGAGGCCGGCGGAGAGUCGGAGAGCCACCGCACGAAGGAGGUGGAGACUGGGCAGCCGCUGUGCGAAGGAGGUGGAAGAGAGGUUCCGCCUCCGGUCCCCUGUUUCGUUCGAAACAGGGGCCCGAAGGGGGCCUCUUUUAUUUUGAAAAUCUUUUAGUGAAAGUCGACAAACCCAUUGUCGACUUCAUUAAUUUUUUUUAAAAUUCUAAAAAUAAAAAGGCCUCCUUCGGGCUCCUGUUUCGAACGAAAUUGGGGACCAAAGGCGAAGCCUCUCUUCCGCCUCUUCUGCGCGGCAACUCUCUGGCCUUCGCCUCCUCCACAUGGCGGCUCCCCAGCCAGUCUCCGCCAGCUGACCUCUCUUUUCCUUCCUCUCUCUCUCUCCCUCUCUCCCCGCUCUUUCUUUCUCUCUCUCUCUUUUCCUCUUUUUCCUUCUCCUUCUCCUUCUCCUCCUCUGUCGCCGAGUCUCGUUUUCGUUGCCGGAACCGUUCCGGUCCGCCAUUGGUACAGCUCGGGACGCUCCGAACUGAGCGAUUCGAGACGAUUCUGCCGACCAUGCUUCAAACUCAUUAUUCAAAGUUUCAGACACUUCAAAUAUACGACAUUAGUCCUUUCAAAAUCUAUAAAAUCAUAAGCCCAUGCAUUCCAGCCUCAAAUGCACUUUCCUACAUAUUGCCUUCUUUUCAACCUCAAUAUGCCGUCCCCAAGCAACAUUUAGGUUUGCCAUGAAAUUUCAGCCUACAAAACAUCUGAUUGCUCCUUCAUAACAGCACAAUUGCAAUCUAAGUACACAAUUCAAAUCUACCACUUACACUUAGUUCUAAUCAUCAAUCACUUAAGUUUCCAUAUGGCAACAUUCUGUCUAGUUCACUUUUAUUCCAUAUUCACAUCUAGUUCUCAACACUAAGCAAUAUUUUGCAGCUGUUCUUAUCCUAUACCGGUCAAUAUUUGAAGAUAUUUACAUCCAUAAAUUCCUAAACCAAUCAAGGUAAUGCUGCAAUGACAUCUUUCCGCAACAAGUUGCAUACCAUUUAAGUUGCUUCUCAAAGAUCAGUAGAAGCUGGUGCUCGUAACUUGUUAAGUACCCUAUUUGCACAGAUUCUAUAAACCUUAUGUGCAUGGUGAUUACCAACCCUCAAAUAAGCUAGAGUCAAUAAGUACAAAUUUUUGUUAAAGAGCUUAUAGAGUACUCUGAGUAUCAUUUUGCUGGUGUUCAAUGUCCUUAAACUAGUUUCUAGAAUAGUAACUUGACUCUAAAACAUUGCAUGUAAUUAUGAUUCAGCUUUUUCUUUUGGUACCCUAUAAGCAAACCAGCAACAUCCAGAUGAGUCAUCAAACAAUGGCCUUUGAUCUCUCACAACAGGUUGUCCAGCAAAUCAAAACAUUUGGUCGGUGAAGCUCACCCAUUUUAAUUGACAUUCAGAAAGGAAAAGGAGCAUCCUUCAGCAUUUAUUAUAUAUCUGUCAUGUUGAUUACAACCUAGAGUUGGAAUGUCAUUGGAAUUUGAAGCCCGUUAACAAAAUUAUCCAUAAAAGGCUUUAUCAGCAUAUUUCACAAAAGCAAUUUGAUCAAAUAGUUGAACUUUAGAUAACACCACCAGCGGAUGUAGUCCACAUAGGGACAAAAUGAAGGCUCAUUCUCUACGUCCUAUUAGUUCUUUUGUUUCUUUCUUCUCUUUGUUUUUAUGCUUGAUUCAAUAUGAAAACUUUAGUUAUCACAAGAAUAGAUGUCUUCAUAACUCAGUUAGAAAGUAGCUGGCCAAUAUUAAGUGAUAUUUCUAGAAACUCUUAAUUAGUUAUCUCAAUGCUCUUUCCACAUCAAAUUUUCAAUCGCACCUGCAUGAUACACUUAGUCAAGAGAAUUGAUGAUCCCGGAUUCCAGCUAUGGAGAAAGAGUCAGUAUAUAUACUAUUUGUGCAGAUUCUAAUAUAUAUGUUGAUUCAAGUGUACCAUCCACAUCAAAUCUUCAAUCUAGCCUACAAUAAAGUGGUCAACACAAUCUAUUGGGCUAACCUGGGAACACUAAUACCUAGCAUUUCCCUCUUUUAGGAAAUGUAAUAAACACAAUAUCUUCAAUCUAGCCUUAAAUAAAGUGAUCAACAUAAUCUAAUGGGUUGACCUGGAAACUCCUAUACCUAGAAUUUCCCUCUUUUUGGAAAUGAAAUAUAAGCAGCAGUAACAAGGUGCUCCAGUAACUUUACAUACAACAAUUAAGGCUCCAAGACUCAGCAGUUAAUGUAAUGAUAUAUAUCACCAAGUGGCAAACACUAAGUGAGAUUUUUAGCAACUCUUAACUAGGUGUCAUCUCAGUGCUAUUUCCACAUCAAAUUUUCAAUCCCACCUGCAUGAUUCGCUUUUGGCAAUAGACCGCAUGAUUCCAGAUUCCAGCUAUGGAGUAUGCAUAAUAUUUGUGCAGAUUCUAAAAUAUGUGUUGGUUAAGUGUACUAUCUACAUCAAAUUUUUGAAUCUAGCCUGCAAUAAAGUGAUUGACACAAUCUAAUGAGCUGACCUGGAAACUCUUACGCCUCACAUUGCCCUCUUUUAGGAAAUGAAAAAAGCAGUGUCAAGAUGCUCCAGGAACUCAAGAUACAAUAAUUAAGGCUAAUAGACUCAGCAGUUAAGGGGGAAUAGUUACACCAUAAUUAGCUAAAGCUUAUGUUAGUUCUUCUGAAACUCUUUAAGUAUCAGCUAAAAGAUGAUAAUGUGCAUGCACAAGAAAUAUCAUUUGAAUGUUGGAUCCAGCAAAAGAAACUCUAUGAUGUCGCUUUGACCAUCCCAUACAUGAUCAAAUCAUGGUAUUUGGAAACAGAUAAAAGUACUGAAUAAUCAUGUCAACAAAGUAUAGAAUGGAAAUUUUUAUUGAUGAUGGCUGCUGAAGAAACUCUCUUUAACUAAUUUUCCUCAAACUUUUACACAAGAAUAUUGCAUAGGCAUGGUUACUGGAGUUUAACAACAUGCAUGCAUUCUACCUGAAGAUGUUGUCUAUCGGAUGGAGGGGGAAAAUAUAAAACAACUUCCAGCAUGCAAGUAUAUGACCUAUAUGUAAAUUAUAAACCUAUAUAAAAGGCAUGUUUCAUGAUGAGUGCAACACCAAGAACAAGAUAUUUUAGUUCAAUUAAAAAUGUGACUCGAUAAACUAUACUCUACACUUCAGAGUAACCCUAGGCUCCAAAAUAAUUUUUCACCUGGAACACAAACCAACUGAAAGAUGCAGAAUGCCUGUCUUUUAGAGCCCAUGUUCUGACCAAGCAUGGUGCUUACAAUCUUAAGGCCCUCGUGGAACUUCGACAGAGAACGAGCUUGUGUAAUAAUUUCGGAUCCAGAAAAGAAUUAUAUGGGGUGAUUACCAAUUCUAGCAUAUGCAUGAGCAGACAAUGUUGUAUGACAGACCAAUCACCUACGGAGCAACCACAUGGUGUCAUCUGUAGGCUACACAAGUUAAGCAACUCUGCCAGGAAGAAUAUCCAUCUGCAGAGUUCUACCAUUUCCAAAACCAAGAAAGCCAACAGUAGGUAGUGAAGAAUCUGUAACCAGCUCAAUCUCAAUAAAAUUCAAGUCAGAAGCUCCACUACGCUUAAGGCUCAAGAAAAACACAAGAAUAAUCCAUCCAAGCAUCGAAAUGGCCCAGUAAUUACUCAUUCCAUGGAUCAGACCCCAAGCUAUGGAAUAACCGACAACAAUUCCAGACAAGUGGCCAAUAAAACUUGCUUGUGGAACAAUUAUGGACGUGAAAAUUAAUGAUUCAAAUGGUGCAAAGCUGAUUGGCAGAGAAAGAAACCCAAAUAGAUUCAGCUUUGAAGAUGGUUGUUUCGCGGCAAGGAUUGUCAUCCACCCGAACACAACACAUGAGUAACCAACCGCUGUCACUCUCCUGAAAUACUCCAGCUUAAACUUCUGAAUCAGAAUAUGAUACACCCCCAGGACCAGCAAUCCUGAUAAAACUACCAGAACUAGAGUAUAAUGGAGAUAAAACUCGACACCAAGACCCAUGUAGCCCAACUGCUCAACCACGCCAAGGCUCCAAAGAGCACUCAUGUUAAAAACCAGAUGAACCACACUGACAUGGGAGAAUGCAGACGUAAUUAUUCUCCAGUAAUGCCCUUCAAUUGCUGUUUCAUAACUCAAGCCAACAUUGGCAUAGCCGAUGUUUUUCUUCUGAAUAUAGAACCAAAUCGCACUGCAUAUUCCUAUGAUACAGCUACUUGCAGGUUUUUGCCAAAUCUCGUACAAGAGUGGCUUCCCCAUCUCUUUCUAUCAAUAAAAUAAUUGCGCACAAGGGCUCCACAGAUCUUCAGUCUUUUCAAAGCCACAAUCUACACCUUACAGAAGGAGAAAUGAAAUCUUUGCACCCUUCCCAACCAUUACAACAAAAUAAUACUUAUGAAGUUGCUGACUUCUGCUCCAUCCCACUAACCAAUAUAAUUCGAACUUGGAUCACUUGAUAUCUUGCCAAUUAGUCAGUCUGGGUUACAGCUCCCAGUUUACCUCAAUUAAUGUAGCACCCCACAAUUCUCAAAGAUGUUAUCGAUAAGGAAAUAAAAAAUCUCCAAGGUUCAAAUCUUCAACAUGAACAGAACCAGACCGAAGGUUAACAUCCAACGAUUCAAAUCGAUAACCACACUCCAGAUUAAUAAACAAAGCUCCAAGGCAGGCUCAGAAUCCUAGAAUUUCAGAAUUCAAAAUUGUGAUCAGCAGUCACAAAAACAUGACAUCCAACCCCAGCAUAAAACAUUAGUAUUCAUGCUCUAUAUUCUAUGUUUCCAUGGCUCAAAGAAUCUCUUUACCUGAAAAUUUUUAAAACCAAGGCAACGUAGAAGCAACAGAACAGGUUGCUGACCUGGCAAAAAAAAAACAGCUUUCACAUUCUUGUCUUCCAGAUAACAAAAUGAAUUGUCUGAUAAGGGAAUUAAACAGUUCAAUUUUGUGACAUAUUUAUACAAGUAAGCUGCAGAGAGAGCGUAGUUUUCAUUGGAUGGAUGGAUCACAAGAACUGAAGGCAGAUCGCAUCGCCUACCGUAGGUUUCUAGUGAUAAAAGUCUACGGAGCGUGCAAAGAGAGAAAUAGGGAACGGAGACAAGGCAUCGGGGAAGGGGAUUACAGAAUCUAGGGUUUCUGGACUCGAGAGAUGGAUUAAAGGAAGAGGAGGGAUUUGAUCUUUGCCGUACCUUGGGUCGGACGUCCGCUGCUCGAGAACUGCGCUGCCCUAGAUCUCUGGCUCCUUUUUCUCCUGUAUUUUUUUCUUCUUCUCGAAUUUUUCGAUGGAGCACCUUUCCCGUUUGAUCAUGAUCAUUCGGUCCACCGCCGGUCCACCAUCUAGCCAGACAGGGUUCGAGCUAAAAAAACCUUCAUUCAAACCGGCGAACUCAUGCUACAGUAAUUUCGAAUCCAUAUAGGCUAUGGGCUAUAUGCUAUAGACCGAAUCUAUCCCGAUACUAUUUUAUAACCAUACAAAUACUUAAGAUCUACCUAGUGCAUAAGUGUUGGGACUUAAUAAGAGAAAUGUUGGAUGCCUCGACUUUGGACCGAAUCGACCUCCUUGACCUCGGUAUAAACCAGGGUGAGUGACUUCGGCGAAAGCUGAGUAACCAAUCAACCGAGGAAUCAACCGGCACAUGUUGAUAAAGACUGUUGUUCUAACAAUCGACAGUUGUAGCAGUCCAUAUAACGCACGUCGCAUCAACUCAUGUAACGAUAAAAUAGACUACACUAUAUAAAGAGGCAGUUCGAGGGUCCUCAGGUAUAUUAUGUUAUGUUCAUUAAAAAAGAACUCUGCUCUGCUAAAACUUUUUCCUUCCAUAUUAUUGUCUCUCUACUUAACUUAGGCAUUGGAAGGUCCCUGUUUCUGACAAGCGGACUUCUUACAGGCCAUCUCUGGAGGAGAUCCACUCCCAUGCACCUCGGACGCCUCGUGCAACUCGAUUUCCGCCGACCACAAGAUCCGCCGAGCUGCACUCCGAUCUCGGUCUGGAAUUCUGUGGCAACAAUUUGGCGCUAGAGAAAGGGCCCCAGCUACACCGGUAUCAAGCGAAGGGAGAAAUCGCCAAUAUAAGGUUGCGAGGAGCUUGCGGUGCAUCUCAUGCCUCGCAACACCGCAUUCCAACCUCACGAGGGUCAUUGCAAAGCCCAGAACAAGCUCUGUCAGGACAACCCACUGAGCCUAUGGAUAAUAAGCAGUUCAACCUGCUCAUUCAAUAGGUGUUGGCUUUGACCACGGCGGUCAAGGCUUGCAGCAAGCAGUAGUACGGACGGAACUAGUCCGGCUAGAAUUUGUUCAGCCCAGCUAUCACUCUAAGCCUCCAUUCUGACAAGGACUCUGCUCCGAACCUCUUACCUCCUCGCCAUGCAAAGCCCUCACCUCAGUGGGAUGCUGACCUCAAUAGAAAAAUAGAGUAGAUGAGCCAACAGAUUUAGGCCCUUAGGGGACAGGCUCCAAGGAAAACAAUGAACUCAAUUUUUCCUUAGAAUCUCCCUUCUUUCGAGAGAUCAUGAAGGAACUGAUCCCACUUAAGUUCAAGAUGCCCCAAGUAGAGUCGUCUGACGGCACAUCGGAUCCUCUGAAGAGCUUCAAAGUUCUCAUGAUGCUGCAUAGAGCCAAAGACGUCGUGCUUUGUAAGGCCUUUCCUGCAACUCUUUGCAAAGUAGCUCGAUUUUGGUUCUUAAAGCUUCGGCCCGAAUUCAUCUACUCCUUCGAGCAGCUCGAACGUCUCUUCACAGCACACUGCAUCUCCAGUCGAAGAUGGUGUCGUGGUUCCGAUGCAUUGCUCGACAUCAAAUAGAGGAAAAAAGAGUCCUUCAGAGAUUAUGUCAACCUCUUCAAUGCGACAAUGCCGAGAAUAUGAUCGAUGCGUUCGCGAAGGGCUUUGAGGAAUGUCAAACUUAGGCCCAGCAACUCUUUCUGGGGGUGGACUUCUCCGGCCUUCAACCCGACCUCGAUGAGGGCGACGACGAUGACGAAGACGGCGAAGGCGGUGACGACGAAGAAUAGAGUUUUUUCUUUUUCCUUUUGCUUUUUGCUCAAAUAGACCGAGCUUGAUGUCUUUGGCUUUUUGCUCGGCUUUUUUCUGAUGUCAUUGUACAAACUUGAAAGUAUGAAUUUUUUAAAGUACCUAUCUUCAGUUCUUGCUUGCAUCAUUUUCUUUUGUAUUUGAGUUCGACUCAUUGCACCAAAACUUCCUUUGAUGCCUCUUCUUAGGUUUAAUUUCAACUAGAGGAUCAGCAAGGAUAUCCAACCAAUCUUGGGCUCCUUGGUUGAUUUUCUGAUGAUUCUGACAAAGGAUUAGCAAGGAUAUCCAACCAAUCUUGAGCUCCUCGGUUAAUUUUUUGAUAAAAUCGAUCAGAGGAUCNNNNNNNNNNNNNNNNNNNNNNNNAGUUAAUUUUCUAAUAAUUUUGAUUAGAGGAUCGGCAAGGAUUUUCAGUCGAUCUUGGGAUCCUCGAUUGAUUUUCUGUACUUCAUCUCUAGAUUUGCUUCGAAUUUUGAGUGAACUCAGCUUAAGGAGGUCCCAAAUGGGUCCAAAGUGUCUCCACAAGAAUAGUCGGUUUGUUACCGAAUAGUUGUUGCUCUCGGAGGUCUUAGGUCGAGACCUAGGCAAUUCUAGAGUGUCCCUUAGGUCGCGGCCUAGGCAUUUCUGGGGUGUUUGUUAUUUUGUCCGAGUCAAAUAUGUUUGUCAUAAUUAUCCGAUCUGAAAGAUAGAAACACAAUGAGAAGAUUUUAAUUAGAAAUAAACUCAAAAUACAAUGAACCUUAUUGGUAAUGGAUACGAAGGUUGUCAGAAUUUCAAGUUUGUAGGAUUGGAGCACUAUCAAGAUGCUCCACUGUUGCCCAGAUAGACAACCCAAGAGGAGGGGUGAAUUGGGUUUUAAAAUAAUUUUGCAAUUAAAACAUUUGAGGAUGACUAAUUAAUACUUUUGCAAGAUGAUUAAUUAGUUGCUGUGUGCUGUGAGUGAAAUGAGAGUGAGAGAGAGAGACACAAGCAAUCACAAACACAAUGUUUAUAGUGGUUCGGAGCUAACCCUUGCUCCUACGUCCACUCUCCAAGUCUCACUUGGGAAUUCACUAUAACUCCUUGGAUUAUAGCCGGUUNNNNNNNNNNNNNNNNNNNNNNNNNNNNNNNNNNNNNNNNNNNNNNNNNNNNNNNNNNNNNNNNAAUGAGCUUAAAUCUGCAUGGUGAUUAUUAAUAAAAAGCGGCUCGGUACUACAAUUCAAGUGUCAAGGGAAAGCUCUUCCAACCUAGUGACCUCAUCUUGAGAAAGACCAAAGUAUCACAACUAGGGAAACUCGAGAAGCUAAACCCAAAUUGGGAAGGUCCAUACUGAGUAGCCAAAGCAAUACAACCAGGAAUGUAUAGGGUGGAGCAUCUUGAUAGUGCUCCAAUCCUACGAAUUUGAAAUUCUGACAACCUUCGUAUCUAUUACCAAUAAGGUUCAUUGUAUUUUGAGUUUAUUUCUAAUUAAAAUCUUCUCAUUGUGUUUCUAUCUUUCAGAUCGGAUAAUUAUGACAAGCAUAUUUGACUCGGACAAAAUAACAAACACCCCAGAAAUGCCUAGGCCGCGACCUAAGGGACACUCUAGAAUUGCCAAGGUCUCGACCUAAGACCUCCGAGAGCAACAACUAUUCGGUAACAAACCGACUAUUCUUGUGGAGACACUUUGGACCCAUUUGGGACCUCCUUAAGCUGAGUUCACUCAAAAUUCGAAGCAAAUCUAGAGAUGAAGUACAGAAAAUCAAUCGAGGAUCCCAAGAUCGACUGGAAAUCCUUGCCGAUCCUCUAAUCAGAAUUAUUAGAGAAUUAACCGAGGAGCCCAAGAUUGGCUGGACAUCCUCGCCAAUCCUUUGGUUGGAAUCAUCUAAAAAUCAACUGAGGAGCCCAAGAUUGCCUAGAAAUCCUCGCCAAUCCUCUAAUUGAAAUUAAACCUAAGAAGAGGCAUCAAAUGAAGAUUUGGCGCAAUGAGCCAAGCUCAAACACAAAAGUAAAUGAUGCAAGCAAGAACUAAAGAUGAGUAUUUUGAUAAAUUCUUGCUUUCCUUGCUUUCAAGUUUGUACAAUGACCUCAGAAAAAAGCCAAGCAAAAAGCAAAAGAUAUCAAGCUCAGUCUAUCCUAGCAAAAAGCAGAAAGACAAAAGGAAAAAACUCUAUUUUUCGCCCCCACUCCCUUCGCCAUCUUUAUCAUCGUCAUCAUCGCCCUUGCCGAAGUCAGGUUGAAUGAUGGAGAAGUCCACCCCCGGAAAGAGUCAUUGGGCCUAAACUCGGCAUUCAUCAAAGCUCUUCAUAAAUGAUCGGUCGCGUUCUCGGCAAACUCGUCCUUGAACUAGUCCUAGGAGAGGUAUUCCUUGACCGCUUUGGCGGCCUUCUCCUUGCCACAGGUGACCUGCUCCUUGGCCCCAACAGCCUCCUCCUCCACCUUGGCAGCUAGCACCUUGGCCCUAGUGGUCUCUUGCUCGGCUUAAGCAAGAUUUGCGAAAAACUCCUGACCUUCUGCUCGGCAGCCAGGAAGGCUUCCCAGGCCGUAGAUAGACAAUUGUCCGAGAUUGUCUUCUGGGUCCGCAUGGUCGAGGCUUCAGCUUUCGCCAACUUGAUUUUGUCUUGGGCCACCUUUGCCCUCUCCUUGGCAGCCUCCGGCUUCGCCUCAAGCUUCGAGCCAUGCAUCCUAAGCACCGAGAUCGACUCGUAGAUAUAGAUGACCUCGUAAGCAUGCUGAAAAGAAGAAAAGGGAUUAGUAACUAAAGUGAAUGACUUGGCAAAAAUUCGCAAUGAAAUAGAAUCUUACUCGGAUGACCGAAGAGAAGGCCCCAUCGAUCAGCUCGUGCACAUUGAAGGAGCGCAUGAGCUUCUUGUCACCUUUGAGCUACAUAGCUUGGACCACCUCCCUCGCCACCCCGAGGGUCGUUAAGGCCGAGUCAGACUCCUUGACCGACCAUCUUGGAGGGUAGACCUUAGAGGCGCGAGCCGAGGCCGAAAGGUUGUCCUCGGCAAGGAUGGACGAACUCGAACCGAUCCGGGCCGAGGCCGAAAGGUUGUCCUCAGCUGGGAUGGACGAACUCGAACCAGUCCGGGCCGAGGUGUGAAUCACCGACGAUGAUGGGUGCAAAGGCAUAGCAGCAGAUGGCUGAACCAAGUCUAUCCCCUCUAGAAGGGCCGACUUGAUUGGUGAUAUGAUCUCGACCUCGGGGUCGAGAUCCACAUUCUCUGCCUGAUUUAUCGACACCUUGGGGGAGACCUCGAGAACCAAGGCAUCGAAGGAAGCUUCAACAACAGGGGCCGAGGAGGACUCUCCCCUCAACUUCUUCUUCCUUUAGGGGAUUUCACUCCCGGACACCGCGGUUAACCUCUUCCGUAUCUUCUUGCGUAUUAGCGCUAGGUUGGUCUUCAUUGUUGCAACAACUGCAAGGCCGAAGAUAAGGUUAAAGAAGAAUAUGAUGAAGUGAAAAGAUAGAGAAAAUUCAGAAGAAGGUUACCUUGAGGGUUGGCCAGGCUCAUACCAAUGUUGAUCGGCAUCUCCUCGGACAACAAUUCUUGCAAUACAAAAAUUUUGGAUCAAUAUUUAAGAAGUGUGUCUAAGGAUCCUUGAUCAUCGCCAAAAACCUCGGGGAGAUUCAAAGAUCUUCGAGGUGUCCUCCACAAGAUUUAAAACCACCAUGGCUACUCAGAGGAAUGAAGAAGAAUCUCUCUUUCCAUCCAUAGAUAGAAGUGAGAGUACCUAAGUCAACUGGUGGCCUUUUCAAGGAGAAAAGUACUGCCAGUUGUUGUCCGAGAAUGCCUCUUCAGAGUGAAUCAUCCCCGAAGAGAAAAUUCGAGGCUUGGAUGUUCCAUAGAAGCCAAAGAGAAAGAAAAUCGACGAGGACCUGCCAGGAGUUUAAGACCAUCUAGGUUGGGACGAGGCUGUAAAUCCUCAUCAGCUGAACAAAGAAGGGGUGAAGGGGGUUCCAAAGUACCAAGGAGCAUUGCAAAUGGGGCCAGCCUGGACGAGACCAGCUAGGUUGGGACGAGGCUGUAAAUCCUCAUCAGCUGAACAAAGAAGAGGUGGAGGGGGUUCCAAAGUACCGAGGAGCAUUGCAAAUGGGGCCAGCCUGGACAUGCAUCCCGUGCGCACAGAUCGUGUGUCCUGUACCGCGUGGAAGGCCGCCCAACGAGCUCAGGACUUGCAUCCUGGCCUACACGGGUCGCGCAUCUCGGGAGGGCGGAUAGAGCCCACUGAAGUGUUGCACACGGCCACCGCAAGGGUCCGACGAUGCCCGAGCGGUGCAGCGGCAUGGGGCACCGGCUGACUUCGUCAAGGCAGAAGAGCGUGGCACGUCUGCCGCGAGCAAAGGGCCUCCUACAUCCCAUGUGCGGAGCCUGCAGUCCAGGCCGACGCAUAGGGCCAGCCUGCGCUCCUGGGACUCGUAUCCCUAUCCGCCAUCCUCGCGUACCAUGCCGGCGGGCCAAGGCCAUCGACGCGUUGCCCCUGACCUCUGCUUGGGUCCGACGGGGCACUUGCUGAUCCGAACGAGGGAGGUAACCUUAUCCGAACAAGAGCCUUCAUCGUGAUCGUGAAACAAGAGAAAGGAGAUUGAAGGACAGUGGGAUUUAAUGGGAAGAACCCUCUAAAAAUCUGGUGGACUCUCUAUUACAGAAACUAUUUCUUUGCCACAGAGGCUAACAUUCCCCUCUAAAACUCCAAAACUCCCCCCUCCCUUUAUCCCUCCAGACUCCAGCCUUGAUUUGUCUUCCCCUCUUACAUGGGACUCUAGCACGGCGUUCUUCCUCUCACAUGGGACUUAGGCACGACGCCCUCUAACUAUCCAAGACUCUCUCUUGAGUGUUGGAGAUUGUCUCAUAUCACUUGCGGAACAACAACACACGCCGAAGGCUCGCGCUGUAGCAGCCCCCCUACCACCCUAGCGGGGCAUCUGCACAAAACCCACCCCGAAGGUUUUGAAGUACUAAGGAGAAUUGCAAAUGUGGCUGGCGGGGCGCGCGCUCCGGGCGCACGGUCGCGCAUCUUGCACUGCACGGAAGGUCAUCCGGUGUGCCCAGGACUCAUGUCCCCGCCCACAUGGGAUACGCGUCCCUGCUCGCACGGGAUGCAUGUCCCGGGCGGGCGGAUAGAGCAGGCCGAAGUGCCGGACAUGGCCGCCGCGAGGGGUCGAUGGCGGCACCCGAGUGCCAUGCCUUUAAAGUCUCCUCGUACAAGUCGAGCCGAGAAGGAGGGGGACUAGUUACCCAAUCAUCGAGAUCGGUGAGCUCAAAGGUGAACUCAAGACGUAUAAAAUGUUAGGCUCAGACAAGGUCCAUUUUCUCUUGGGUGAGAACGGAUACCUCGUACUCUGGCCCAAUCAGACCUCGGGCUCAACCGAGCGCCACCUGGGAGCCUGAGCACUUGGGCAGCUUUGCAAAUAAAGCAAGAGUACAAAUUGAGGGGGGGUUACCCUUAUAUAGAGACACGGACAACCCUAAUCAAAGUAAUGGUCUGGCUACCCAAGCAGAUUCAGCCACGUAUCAGCUCGAAAUAUGAUGGAAGUGAUUUACUAGGAUCGCUGCAUUAAUAGUACCUCAAAAUAACCCCAUAGUAAUGAUGCCUCGGGAUAGCCCGGAUAUAGUGACAAUUCAAGAAGAUCAACCGACACAUUUAAUACUCCCUGACAACAGCCUUAUUUUCGAUCGUGAUGACGACAUAACUUCCGUCGCCUGAACUGGAUGCAGCUUAGCCUCAAAAAUGGGGGGUAAGUGAUGGAGAAAAUGUGGGACGCCUCGACCUCGGACCAGAUAAACCUCCUUGACCUCGGUGUAAAUCGAGGUGAGUGACUUCAGCAAAAGGCGAGUAGCCAAUCAGCUGAGGAGCCAACUGGCAUGUGUUGAUAAAGACUAUUAUUUUGGCAAUCGACAGUUGUGGCAGUACUAUUGUUGGCAUAGGAUCAGCAUCGUAUGCCACCCAUGCAGAAUGAUGCCCACGCAUCGUAUGCCACACAUGCAGAAUGAUGCCCACGCCGUAAACGUACUACUAGCCAUUAACACAUGUCGCAUCAGCUCAGGUAACGACAAAAUAGACUGUCCUUUAUAAGGGGGCAGUCCAGGGGUCCUCAUGUAUGUGAUAUUAUGUUAUAUUCAUCCAGAGAGAACUCAAUUUUACUCAAAUUUCUCCCUUCUAUACUAUUGCCUCUCUCUCUCUCUCUCCUAACUUAGACAUCGAAGAAUCUCCCAUCAGAAACUUUCCGGCAAGCAGACUUCUUGUAGGCCAUCUCCGGAGGAGAUCCACUUCCCCGCACCUCGGAUGCCUCAUGCAGCUCAGUUUCCACUGAUCUCAGGGUCAACUGAGCUGCGCUUCGACCUCGAUCCAAAAUUCUACGGCAAUAGGACUAAAUAUAAACCAGCACGGAUCCUCAUAAUUAUGGAUUCAUAUAAUCAAUUUAUCGUUUAGAUUCAAGGUUGUAUCUUAAAUUCCACAUUAACUGUGCUGAUUAAUGGAGCACCAACCGACCAGUUUUUCUCCUCAAUUGAACUAAGACGAGGGUAUUCCCCGUCUCCAUUCGUCUUCACUUUCCAUAUUAAUAUCUUAUCUAGAUCCGUAUAUACAAGCUAUAGUUAUUGAUGGAGCUUUGAACGAUCUGCUCUUUGUGGUGAAUUCUAUAUUACGUAACGCUAAAGCCGUAAAAUAUUAUGAUUGCUUAUUGCCAACAAUCUGGGCGAAGUAUGAUCUUGGAGAAGUCAAUAUGCUUCAGCCCAAAGACUCAUGACAAGCUUGACAAUCAAAUUAUUUAUCUGCUAGGAAUACAACAAAAGAGUAGCAUUUGGAAUUGUCUCUGUUCUUCUCUAUCUGGUUUACGACUCGAUGUCUGAUCUUAAUCCCUCGUCUGAUAAGCUUAAUGCCCGGUUGGAAGGUUGGAAGUGGAAGUCUUUAUCACGGGCCAGAAGGUUAACUUUGAUUGAAUCAGUACCAUCACCCACUCUUAUCUACUUAAUGUCUAAUUGUUCAAUUCCUGUGGCUGCAGUUGUACUAUAAAUCCACUGUAGACUCCAAACUUGUUAUACUGUGCGACCUGUGCGUCGACAAAGAGGAUCAGGAUGUGCAACACGUAACGGUAGAUUGCAAAUUAGCAGCAGAAGUUUGGAAUCUAUUUGCUAUUAAGCUUCCCAUUCUACUUGACUUUAGUUCUCCAAAGGACCUUGGAAUACAGGAAUUUAAAUCAGGAGACCAGGAGUCAUAUAUUUUGCUAGAUUGCUCCUCUGGAAUGCAAGAAAUGAAAGAGUGUUCCAACCAGCAAUCUUAAAUGAGAAUUAAUGACGACUUCAGCACACACAGUGGAAACUCUUCAACAUGAAAGUCUCCGGCGACUUCAAGGCAGCAGCACAAGAUGUGUCCCUCCUGAUUUGUUCUGCGGGUUCCAUCUCAUCCGUCAAUCAGUGCAUGACAUGUCAGCCACUUCACCCGAGUAUCCCAGUGACAGGUCUAAAACUAAUUCAUGCUAGGUUUGAUAUAAAUAGUAGCCAGUAGUUGGAAUAUAUAUGUAUAUAGCAACGGAUGGAGUUCUACUAGAGUGGGUGCAGCUUGGGUGCAACGGUGGGCACCAACCGCUUUAUUUUUAUCGAAUAUGGUUCAACCACUGACCCUAUCUUUCUACAAUGAUCUCUCUUGUGGUUAUAUAUGAUGAAUGCAGACACUCAUCGUUCUCACCAUGCUCUCUCUUUUCUCGCCAUGCCGGCAACAAGAAGAAGAGUUCGUCCAAUGAUGGAGUUCAGUUUGGCAGACUCCACCUUCGACGCCAUCCAUCUACUUCCUCGAUCACCAAUUCUGGCUACGAAUGCUGUCUGCUUGCCCAGAGCACGCCAAGAUUACACAAUGAGGCAAGCUUUUCUUCGCAGCUACCAAUUUACUGUCAGAGAGAGCUUCGGCGAAAGGCUCUGGCGGAGUCUGAAGGAGGUUGGUCGGACGGGGAAGACGGUUCUUUCGGAGGUUUUUGAUGGGGUGUUCCACGGAAGGUUUGGAGUGAGGGUGUUUCGAGCUUUUCGUUUGAGACUGCCUCGCUCAGCAGUGGAUCCACUAAGAUGCUUCAAGCCAAGGAAGCAUGGCUACUUGGAGGAUCUUGUUUGAUCUUAGGUAUCUAAUGUACAAAUUUGAUGUUUUAAGGGCAGUGCUUGCAAUUUUUUUCGUAGUAUGCAUGUAUUUUAUAUGUUGGUAUGGAAAUGGGCACCCUGUUUCACUUGUGUAUAAAAUAUGUGUAUACAUAUACAUGCAUACUUACAUAUGUAUGUAUGUAUAAACAAAUCAGGAGAAAACUAAACAAAGAUUAGCAUAGAGGUGUUCUAGAGAGAGAGCUCUUAAUGCCUGAGGGGAUCUAAUAGGUUAUUUAUAGCCCUCUCUAGGAUCAAAUGUUGUGGGUAGUUACACCCGUGAAGAGUCAUCCUCCAUUAAGAUAACCUUUCACUACUACGAAAUUACCUUAAUGCCCUUAAGAUCAUGUGAACUUACGAAAUUUAAGGGAUACUUGUCAAAUGUGGAUUCUAAUUAAAUGAGAUCAGGGUUUAAUUAAAGGGGAUCCAACACAUAAUAGGCUACAUCCGGGGAAAACAAGUAGAAGACAACCUUCUGCUUGAACUUAUUAUCAAACAUCUUAAAGCCAGCAUUAGCUAUUCGUGGCUCAAUUAUUGUUGAUGAGAAUUGGAGGCUUGGUUAUGAGCAAGCUAAGGUGCCUCCGUUUUUUUUGGGGGGGGGGGGGUAAAUUUCUUAGUCCAAUAUAAGUACCCAAUAUCUAUCUAAUACAUCAUAUUUAAGCUCUAGAAAAUGUACCCAUGCUAUAAUAUCUUCCAAUCUAUAUAGACCAUGGAGUGGGCUUGCUCUAAUAUCAUUUAUAACAACCUAGAGCUAAAAGAUAUUAUUUGAGUUUUUUAGUCCUAUAUAAAUACCUAAGAUCUAUCUAGUACAUCGCAAAUGUGAAACUAAAUACAUGCCCACGAGUCCUCGCAUAUUGUAAGCCUGAUUAACCAAAUAUAAUAUGAUAGCUUCUGUUGGUGGUUGAGCCCAAACAGAAUGAGUGCAUUUUCUUGGGGUAACUAAAUAAUGGACUAGUUAAGCCAGUAGAAAAGGUGACGAUAGUAACAGUUAAAACAAGUCUACCAUUUCCCGUUCCCCCACUCUCAAUGAAAGAAGUGUGGCAUAGUUUUUCAGAAAAAUAGAUAUUGUUAGGGAAAAACCCAAGUCGUCCCAGAACGGAGGCGCCCGACCAGGGAGCGCCAACCAGAAGGCGCCCGACCAGGGAGCGCCGACCAGAAGGCGCCCGACCAGGGAGCGCCGACUAGAAUGCGCCAACCUCGCGACGCUCGAGUUGAAGGCGCCCAACUGGGCAACCGGCUCGGCUCGGUGCCGAGCCCCAAAAUGCCUCGUCCAAAUAUUUGACCCGGCCUGUUCCUUGAGGGAACCUGACCCUAGAUAUCCAACGUCGCCGUACUCUGCUACCGUCGUCAAGCCAUUAAUGCGCAUGGCCUCUGCAGGCCUCCAGUGCACUCAACCAUUAAUGAACGCGGCUCAGGAUGAUCUCCGGAUCACUCGACCAUCAAAGCGUAUGGCCUUCCCUGAUCACUGGUUCACUCAACAAUUAAUGCGCUUGUUAUCUACGGACCCCAGGCCCUCCACAGCGGGCGGUUGAACCACUCCACCAGGUCCGAUCAACCACGACAAUUCGCUGACUCCGGUCUGAUCCGGUCUCAUCCCCCACGACGUCAUUAAUGAACAUGAUCGUGCUCAAUUAUCACAAAGAGGACAAUCUGCCCUGUCACAUCACAGGUAACCCAACUCCUUCCAUAAAAGGAGAAUCCCUCCAUUUGAGGAGGGGGGAAAAACUCUUAACUUCUGAUUGCUAUCUCCACUCUUAUAUUGGCCCCCUCUGACUUAAGCAUCGGAGGGCCGGCGCCGGAAAGCCCGGCCACCGGCUUCUUGCAGGUCCUCCGGAGGACGCCACCAGCCGAUGUACCGCCACCCACCGUUCCAGCAGCGGAGCUCCUCCCCCCUCAGCCGACGGUCGCUCCCGGGUCCAAUUUCCAGCAACAGAUAUAAAUAAAAGAAGCGCGAGCUAUUAGGCUUACAAUUGUUUAAGGAUACAUUAUGUACUCAAAAAAAAAAACAAGUAUAAAGAUAGACUGUUGACUGGCAGCUGAGGAAUGAAAAUUGGAGAUCGCACACCAGAUUUCUUUUGACGUCGGAUAAAUGAUGGACCCCGUGAUUAUGAUUGCAUUCACCAUUAACCCUCAAUUUCUUGGACUUUGGAAUUAGCUAAUAAAUAAUACCUAAAUGGAACUUAGAAAUUGAUACAUGAUUUAUAUGAUCUUUAAUUCACUCCAACAAAAUGUUGCAAAUAACUGGUAGCUUAGAUGGAUAGCUUACUACAACAAAUAAUACACCAUAAUGCUAUACCUAAAUUGCAAUAUCCUUUCUAGGUAUAAGAGAUCGAGUUCAAGGCUAGUCAUGUUACUUUAAGAUUUGAAAGUUGGUUGGGGCGCAUGAGCCACCACUCACUACUGACCGUUUGGACUGACCGUUAGCUAAACCUAGAAAUACGAAACUGGCGCGGGGAAUUUUGAAGUAAAGAAAUGAGCAACGAAAGGAAGAAAAACCAUUCAGUCUUAGAAGGAGAAAACCCAACAAGAUGAAGGUUGAGUGCCCUCUCCAACUAAUGAACCCUGAAUUGGCCUCCUCAUCUUCCUCUUCUCCUCCAACGCCACCAUCUCCUCUCCCUGUAAGUGUCGGACCAGGCAAUCGCAAGUAUCCAUUCUCUCCUUCGUCGACGCCAUCGCCGCCAUUCUCACCACCCGAUCGCUCAUCACCGGAGACCUCACCUCUCUUGCACGAGCAAUCAGCAGAGCAGCACCAAGAACCUUCCGCUUUCUCUUUGGACAAACUCCUUGAAGAAUCUGGUCCUUCAAGAAGCUGGUGCCAUUUUAGAAAUUUGUAAGUUGGAGAAAUUUUCGAUUUUUUUUGAGCUUAUAAAUGAAAACCAUGAUCAUGGAGUAUGAAUAUUUUGGUGUCAUACCAAUGAAAUGUAGAUAUGGUCUAAUGUAGUUAGCUUGAGCAAUUUGAUCUUUAGCAUUUGCAUUAAUAUUUUAUGCUAUGUAACACAAGUCAUAAAUUUCAAUUAUCAAAUAAAAUCACAAAAGGCUGCUUAAUUUGGUUUGUGCAUUACCAACUAAAUCAUUGAAUUGUCAUAAAAGAUUAGCAUAACCACUGGCCCACUGCCACUAGAUUAGCCUAUAAAACUCGCGUUAUGAUUUUUGCUUCCUUUUAUGACUUGCUGCCAAAUGGUGCUAAGCCUUGGGACCCCUUUUUUUUUUAGGCUUAUUUUGAGGUCGACAUCAAACAUUUGAGAUGCAAUUUUAGAAUCUCUAAUCUCUCUUUCUUUCAUCUUCUGAUUAAUCUACUCAACCCAGAGCUCCGAGUUUGACCCAAAAACUUGAACAAGUUAUUGCAAUACCGCACUUUGGAUCUCCGUUUAGUACUACGGAAAUAGGAAAUAAAGCCAGAGCUAAUGGGACGUAUCUACUUGCAGUUUGGAAUGGCUGAUGCUGAGAUGUUGCUGCUGCUGCUGCUCCUCAUUGUGAUAGGCAGUAAAUUCUUCAACUCCAAUUCUAGAAAGAUUUGGUGUCAAGCUGACCUGCAACUGUUGGGAGAUUAAUAAAAGGGAAGGUUCAUGUUUGAUCAUGCUGUUAUGGAUGCUAGCCUACCAGAAUUUUUUCUCUCCAGUUAAUUGUUUAUGACGAUGGAAGCUUGAUGAAUGGCUGUGACCAUGAAAUUUCAUUUUCCGUACGGAUGAUUGAGCUAACCGGAGCCAUCAGUGGUUUAAGAUGGUGGAUGGUUUAUAAAUGGCUGUGACUAUGAUCAUGUUCGUCUUGAAACAUUCAGAAGUGGAGGGUUUUUGAGGUUCCAAGAUUUCCAUAUAAUUGCAUUGUAUAAAAUAAUUGAUAGUUUACAAUAACCUUAAGUAACAUAAUUUUCAUAAAGAUUGUUUUGCCACCUUGCUAAAAUAAUUGAGAUCCGUGUAACAAUUUUUUUUUAAGCUAAAAUCAGAUUUAUUAUAAAUACGUUGAUGAAAAUCAGAAAAUAAAAUAUACAAAAAAAUCAAAAGAAAUAUCCGUUACAGCAAUAACAAAUUCUUUUCUAAUACUGAAUGUUAAUCUCGAGUUUUAAGAAGUGACCCAAUUUCUACAAACAAAAUGAAUAUCAAGCUUGCUUAUGCAAAGAAAUAGCAAAGUGUCCCCCGGUUUCAAAGCAAUCUCCUUAUAUGUCUAAUUUAUGUAGAAGAGUCAGCCCUUCAAAUAUGUUUCACCUCACCAAAAAAACUCUCUCUCUCUCUCUCUAACCAAAGAGGAAUUCUCUCCAACUCUUCGUACAUGUGUCUUUCCCCUAAUUUAUAAAGCCACAUUCUCUACCUAAAAAGACAAAAACAUCAACAUCUUAUACUAAAAAGCAAAAACAUCAGUAUUCCACUCUAACUAAAAAAUAAACUUAAAUAUAUUAAGCCUAAGGGUCAACCUAACACUAGAAUAAGCUAGCACAAAAAGAACAAACUAUUCUAACUAUGUUAGACCCUAGGUUACUAAUAUCCAACAUCCAAUGACUUGUUUUCAUCUACUUCUUGACAUCAGUCUUGACCAUUAGAUAUCCUCAGUCCGGCUGAAAUAGACCUCCAAGAGAAGAUGCUGGAGAAGCAUAUGAGAGUUGGGGGAGGCAAUGGUUGUCCAUGGUUCUUGCAAUUCCAAUGUUUUCAGGGUCUGAAAAGUUUGGGGUCGGGGUACCGACUGGCAUUCAUAGUCCUAGUCUCCCAAUAAACAUCUUUGCUCUGCAACUGGCAAAUUAAUGGAGAACGAAAUGGAAUAGCCAAUGGCUUCAGAAAUCCAAAGACCCUUAGAACAUAAUUAAGCAGCAGAUUUGCCCUUCAUGUUUGUGUUUAAUUCAUGUUGGCAUCGCACAUAGGCAUUACAUUAACUUGGGUACAGGUGUAGAAUGAUUUCACCUUGGUAUGCCUUGGCUGGAUAAUUGCAUGCUAUCUUCACUGCAGAAAAUAUUCAAGAAAAUAAGGUUAAGAAAGCACAAGAAAACAUCCUUCAGACGGCAACCACAUGCUCAACAUCCUUCAGACGGCAACCACAUGCUCAACNNNNNNNNNNNNNNNNNNNNNNNNNNNNNNNNNNNNNNNNNNNNNNNNNNNNNNNNNNNNNNNNNNNNNNNNNNNNNNNNNNNNNNNNNNNNNNNNNNNNNNNNNNNNNNNNNNNNNNNNNNNNNNNNNNNNNNNNNNNNNNNNNNNNNNNNNNNNNNNNNNNNNNNNNNNNNNNNNNNNNNNNNNNNNNNNNNNNNNNNNNNNNNNNNNNNNNNNNNNNNNNNNNNNNNNNNNNNNNNNNNNNNNNNNNNNNNNNNNNNNNNNNNNNNNNNNNNNNNNNNNNNNNNNNNNNNNNNNNNNNNNNNNNNNNNNNNNNNNNNNNNNNNNNNNNNNNNNNNNNNNNNNNNNNNNNNNNNNNNNNNNNNNNNNNNNNNNNNNNNNNNNNNNNNNNNNNNNNNNNNNNNNNNNNNNNNNNNNNNNNNNNNNNNNNNNNNNNNNNNNNNNNNNNNNNNNNNNNNNNNNNNNNNNNNNNNNNNNNNNNNNNNNNNNNNNNNNNNNNNNNNNNNNNNNNNUGCCCUUCAUGUUUGUGUUUAAUUCAUGUUGGCAUCGCACAUAGGCAUUACAUUAACUUGGGUACAGGUGUAGAAUGAUUUCACCUUGGUAUGCCUUGGCUGGAUAAUUGCAUGCUAUCUUCACUGCAGAAAAUAUUCAAGAAAAUAAGGUUAAGAAAGCACAAGGAAACAUCCUUCAGACGGCAACCACAUGCUCAACAUCUUCCAUCUAAUGCACAGACACCAGUGUGUCCUUUAGGAAUUCAAACUUGAUUCAUAACUGGUAACAUCAAACUGAAACCCAGUUAUAACAUGUCAGAAGCUCUGCAGAUCUUUUUCCAUUGUAUUUAAAAUGUCUAUGAAGAUAGGAUGAAGCUAAAAAAGUUAAAACGGCUUUUUCAGAGGAUCAUCAACUUCUCAAGAAUCCACACUACUAUGGUAAUUGGACUGUUUUGCUAUGAGGCAGUUUUCUUUCUUUUUUGCCCUUUUUUUUAGAAGAAUACUAUGAUGCAGUCUUUUAAGUGCUUUUCUAUGCCUGAAUGAUUGUUGAAUACAGAACAGCUUUAAAGCCCUCAUAUACUAUGAUGGAAAUAAUAUGGUAAACAAGGUGGCACCCCUCAUGAAUCGUAGUGUUUUCGCAUGAACAACAAUGUCUAGCACAUGGUUUUUAUAUAUAAUUUGCUAAAAUCUGACCUGACAAAGCACCAAAAUCUGACUUAAAGAGCUGGAUGAAUUGGUUGAAAUGAUGAGCGGCGGUUGGUAGAUUUUUGGUUUGCUCGGACUGAAUGGUCGGCUCAGGGUAGAAAAUUCGAUUUGCGAACUGAAGGUUGCUGAACUUGAUCCAAUGAGGGAUUCUCCGAUGACUAAGUCAAACUAAGCUCUAAUAGAACAAUGCAGAUCUCAGAGUACGAAUUGUACAAUGUGGAGCGGAGUGUAGAAUAAGUAUACUCGGAGAUUCUCCAGGUUAUGUAUAUAUAGAAGCGAGGGCAAGGAGCCAUUGCCCGAAAAGAGCGGAGGAGUUGAAACGGAUGGAUGUGUUGUAACUAUCCAAAUAUGCGAGACGAGCUAUAACCAUCCUGCAACGUGCCUCUUAAGUGUGCGCAGCUAUAAUCGCCCUCCUUAAGGGAGCUUUAACUGCUUUUAACAUCCUUUGAUUUAGGGAUAUAUGUCAUGGUCGGCUGGCAACGGAUAUAAGCGACAAAUCCAGACGACAUUAGUGAUCCAAGCUAACACAGACACCUUCCACGUAGGGAUGCCAACUUUAAUUUCUAGCCCUUAAAAGGAGUAGAUUUCUAUGUUGAGAACAGUACCCAUGAAUCGUAAUAUGUUGCGAAAAAGCAACAAAUCUUUGCCCUCCGGAAAACCAUUUUCAGACAGAAGCAGGGAUCGGCAACAAAGACACAACCAAACACAAAG
rnacentral:lncRNA from 1 species